AAUUAGAUUUCCCACCCCCUGUUUUAGAUUUUCCACCCCAUUUAAAAGUGGGGAAAAACCAAUAUUGCCCCUCCGUGUUUUAGUCCGAAACUUCAACCUUCGGAUCAGUACGAAACUUCAUCCUUCGGAUUAGUAUGAAACUUCAACUUCCGGACACCUCUGACAGAUUCUACCACCUUUUUCAGCACCAUUACUCCAUAGCUUCACCUACCUCACCACCAUUAUGACCUGCAUAAACUCCUCAACCACCCAACCACCCCCCAUUUAUGGCUGAACACACUGUUUGGAUUGGUCCUCGUGUUAUUACCAACUUUGAUUUAACAGACAUAACAGAAGAUUGAUAAUAUGAUUCAUGUUUGUAAUGUUGUAACCAUGUCUGUAACCAUAUUAUUAGCAAGAAUAUUUUCCUUCAGUAUUGUAACGAGGUCUGUUUGUCCCAUAUUAUUGUCACUGCAUUUUCACGUUUCUGUCUUUGUGACAGUAUCUGGUUUGAAAGAUCCGAAUCUUGAAGUUUCAUAUUAAUCCGGUUUUUCAACUCUCGGACGUCUAAAAAAGGGGGGUGGUAAAUUUAAUUAUGAAGCAGUCCGAAACUUAUAGUCCUGGAUUGAUCCGAAACUUAAAGUCCUGGAUUGAUCCGAAACUUAAAGUCCUGGAUAGAUUCGAAACUUAAAGUCCUGGAUAACUCUUACCAAGCAGCAGAAUGCAGUAAGUUAAGACCAAACCAAAAGGCAUAUUCAUCAAUUACAAUCUCAACCACCACCACAAUUACAAACCAAACAUUUCAACCCAACAAUUCGUUAGGCAAGUCCUCCAAGACGGCCACGACACCGAUCAUGUUAUUUUAACUGUAACUAAAGAAUCCGAACUUUUAACUCUCGGACUAGUCCAGAACAUCAACCUCUGGACUGGUAUGGAGGUUUAAGUCCCGGAGGGUAGUCCCGGCAUUUUUUUAAAAAGGCUAAGGUGGCAAUUCUAAAACAGGGGGUGGGAAAUCUAAUUCCCAGGCCUACCACAUUCCAAAAUCAAAAUCUUAAGGUCAAUUAUGUCUAUGGUCUAGUAUGCAUAAUCAUCAUUGAGGUGUAAAGUUACGAAACCAUCAAUCCAUUUUAGGAAACAAUUCAAUUUUAGUCCGCCGACCACUUUACCGGGUCUCUAGUCAGAGCGAGUAUAAUUUCUAAUUAAAUUAAUUUUAUAUUAUAAAUUACUAAAAGUUUAAAUUAAAUUAAUUUUUUACUGAAAUAAACUUGGUUUCAAUUUUUCUAUUAUAUUGUCAUCUACAUCAUCUUCAAGAACAUUAAUAAAGAUCACUUAACCCAUAAAUGAUUCAAAAAAAAAACACUUUCACCUAAUCAAUGGAACCAAAAUAUGAGCAAAAGUCUGAGACAAAACUCAAUUGAGAUAUGCACCCCAACCUUCGCUCCGUUCUCCUUCCCAAGUCCCAACAACUUAAACCAACACCUUUACUUGCCCAAAACCGCUACCAUCACAAAAACCACCCCACCUCAUGUUAUCCCACGAAUGUAUUGAAAAAGUCCUCUUAACAUUAUGUUUUUUAAGGAGAAAAUUGAGUUUAUAUGAGGAGACAUUUCACUUAUUUCAAAAAAUUCUCUUAACAUUAUAUUUCUCGGUAUUUUUCAUCACAUCAUUUGCAUAAAUAAAUAUUUAUAAUUGGCUUAGAUAUGAAUGAUUUUUUAUAAAUGAAUUAAAGAAAGACUCUAAUACCAAAUUAGAAUUUGAUUUAGACAUAGCCUCUCCCUAAAAGACAUAUAAUUAUUCUCACUAGUAACCUUACCCUGAUUAUUUCAACAUGUUUUUGCUUAAUUACUUGACGCAAACGGGAAACCAAACAAUUAACAACUCAUUGAACCAGCAGGAAACAAAUAGACUUAGAAAUAAUCCUCUUAACAUUAUGUUUUUUAAGGAGAAAAUUGAGUAUAUAUAUAUGAGGAGACAUUUCACUUAUUUCAAGGACGGAGGCAAACAAUAAUGUUUAAGAGUCCUCAUUUAUAAAGUACAUAGUACAUAUGCUCCUAAACUCUUUCUGUAUUUUUCAUUUAUCCUCACAUUAUUUCAAAAAAUAUUUAUGAGCAACUCAUCUAAGAAUGGUCUCUAAUAAAUAAAUUUAAAAAAAGAUUCAGAUAUCAUAUUAUAAUUUAAUCUAGACAUAAUUUUAUCCUAAAAACUAGUUCAACGGUGAUGAUUAUUCUCACUGGUAACCUUACCCUCAUUUCAACAUUUUUUUUUGCUGACUUUGACGUAAAUGUGAAACCAAACAAGCUAAAGUCAUUUAAUCAGCAGUAGCACAUAAUUGAGCUAGCGAUACAGGUGUACAGUAUUGGCCAUAAAUCUUCCUGAGAACCAUUAAUACCAAUUAUGCAGCAUCAGCGUUGCAGAAUACAGAUAGGACUGGAAAUGAAGACGUGGAGUGAAAUGAUCACGUGGUGAAUAAUGCAUUUGGGUAAUAUGAACAUUUGAUGGUGUCUCAUUAUUGUUGUGGCUUAAAUCAGCAAAGGCAUCUUUACAUGGAGCCCUCUUAGUUAAUGCAGAGCGUCUACUACAAAGGCCCACCACCAGGACUCAUCAUUAGCCUUGUGUUGUGCCAACAAACUGUCUACACUCCAAUAUUAAAGAGUGUUAAUUAGUACUAGUACUACUACUACCUUAACUUGUUUUGAUUUCUUCGAUCGUUUGUAUUCAAAUACUAAACGCUUACUUUUCAAAUUUGAAGUCUCUGUUUUGUUCCCCACUAUGGCUCCAAGGAGUGACUAGUGAGUGGCUACACUUCAGUCUGUUCGUACUUACUAGUAUUCACAUAUUUAGACUGUGUUUGUUUUACCGUUGGGAGCGUUCAUGGAUAAAUUUCAAGACAAAAUCAACAGAAUGUGCUUUCACUUCUGUUUUCAAUUGAAAAAAAUGAGUUUGGGCUCGAGUAACUGGGAACCAAAGAAAUUGACCACUUAUUGGGUAUCAGAACAAUAAUACUCUAGCUUUGGUAUGCGCAAAUGCUUAUGCCUAGAGGUACAAAUAAUUCCAAAUGUAAACCUUUUUGGCAUUUGGUGUGUUCUUCAUUUACGAUAAAAUAAGAGAGUCAAUCGUUUACGGAAUAUGAGAUCGGAUACCAUAACAUUCAUAGUUGGUUGGAUGGGAAAAAAGCUAAAUACCACGGUCCACGACAAGUUUAAAUUUCCAAAUUCCAAGUUAAUAAUACAUCUUUUUUUUAAAUAUCUAAUUUUUUUCUAUAUCUACCGCUUCUAAUUACAUACACCAUAUCUAUGACAUCUAUCUAUUUUAUUUUAUUUUCUUUCUCCGGAUUUCUACAUGGUUAGAGCAUCUCCAAUGGUAGUAUCUAAUUUUAAAUACAUACUCAUAUGAGUAUUUAUUACCAUUGAAGUACAUAUUCAAUUCCAACAUGACAAAGAUGAGUAUGUGAGAAUAGAUACUCUAAACUAGACUUGAAAAUUGAGCUUGUAUUUUUUUGGUCUUGACCAAGGUAUCCCCACAGCCGACAGUCGUGAGACUAAUCCCUCGCCCCACGGUCAGCGCACUAAGCGGUAGGGGGCUGACCAAUGAUAUAAUGGAUGUAGAUGGUUAAACCGGUGUAGGAAACAUUAUGUGAAUAAAAAUAAAAGAAAAUCACAAGGGAAAGACAUGCUAUGGAAUGUGAAACACAAUGCCACAUGCCGUGUCAUCAGCAUCCAUUCUCUGUACUUCUUUUUCCUGACUAUUAAAAGUUGAAAGUAACCAACAGCCUGUCGUUAUUACACCUUCUCUUUCCUUUCUCAAGCUAUGCAUACCAGGAAGAACCCCUAUAUUUGGAAAUAAAAAUUAAAAAAUUCAAGCUAUUAAAAUAUUUAGUUGAACUUGUUAAACUGAACACAUCAUUCAGACCCUUUUUGUGUUUCAUUGCUCGAGCUUGUUCUCUCUCUCACUCUCUGUCCACCCAAGUUUCAAGUUUUCAACUUUUAACACAUUGUCCACAGUACUCCUCCUGUCUGCACAAAUCCACAAGUUCAUCUUCACUAGUGGCUAAUAAGGUAUGUUUUUUGGAGAUUCCUUCUUAAUAUGACAUGCAAUCCUAUCUCUUUCUGUCAUUAUUUUUCAAAACCAUCAAAGAAGGAAAAAAUUACAUUUCCUUAAAUUCACUGUCCAGUGGUAGUAGUGGUAGCGGUGAGAGGAAGCAUUAAGCAUCCUCCUGCUGCAAGUACUAGUCCUUUCCAUGAUUCAAUCUUUUAAUUAAUAUUUUCUUUUUUCUUUUUUAACAUUUAGUUGCUACAUAUGCAGUUGGUAACCUUCUCUUUUGCAACUUCCAGUUUCCUUGGAACUCUAUCUACUUGGAUGCUAGGUAGUUAGACAUUAAUUAUGAGAUUUUUUUAACACUCUUGCUGCAGGUUUCUUCUCUCCCUCUCUCUCUUUUCCCUAAUAAGGACAAACAAGUUUCUAAAAUGUUUGUAUAGAUGUGCCUAUUUUAGUAUUUUAUAGCUGUGUUUCUUGAUUAAUUUUCUCUUUGUAUUCAUUCAACUUAGAAGCAUUCUUUGGGCUGCAAAAGUAGUGAUUAUGGAAUGGAAUUUGAAAGCAAGUUCUUGGGAUUUGAGUGAAGUGGAUCAAGCAGCAACCAUACCCAACAUAGAAACAGUGGAUCAUGGUUCAAUUAACAGAUUUGGAGUUUACAGAACAAAAGGGGAGUUUUCUGUUGACUUGAAGCUUGGUCAAUUGGGGAAUUCUAGCAAUGAAUUGGUGGCUGCCAAGUCCAAAUUAGAUGUUGCUGCUGGUGGUGUCUCCAAAAUGACUACUACUACACCUUCUUCAUCAUCUUCAGGAUCAUCUAAGAGAGCUAGAGCCAUUAACAAUGGGACUCAGAGAGUGUCAUGUCUUGUGGAUGGAUGCCAAUCAGAUCUUAGUAAAUGCAGGGACUAUCACCGGCGCCAAAAGGUCUGUGAGCUCCAUUCCAAGAGAGCACAGGUCACAAUUGGUGGCCACAAGCAAAGAUUCUGCCAACAGUGUAGCAGGUGCAUGUAUCAUAUGAAUCUUUGUGUUUCAAUGCAUGUUUAGUUUCACGAUUUGCACAAAAUAUAAGACAAAGUUACUAAAAAGCUAAGACUUGUAGCUUCACACCAUAAGUGAUUCUGAAGCAUUUUAGUGCGGAACCAAUCAUGCUAUCAGCAUAUGAAUAUCAUAUUUGGUUCCAAGGUAAAACAGUCUAUAAUCAAUUCUGGCUAGAAACUAUAAAUCUUAACUUCCUAAUAAACGGAUCUUGAAUUCGAUGUAAAUCGCCAGAUACAUGAAAUUGUUUAUUUACAUUCUAGUAUGCUUUUGAUUUGUCCUCUUAAUGUAUUUUUUCUUCUCUUGUUGCUGUACCUAGUAGGCAUCUAUGUUAUGUGCCAAUAUUCAUGCUAACUUCACAAGUAGGCUCGCUAUAGUUACCUUCUUAUGUUAUUUUUAGCAUCUUAAUCUAGUGUUCAUAUAGGAAAAGUAGAAGCACAGUACUUUACAAGAAAGGAAUCCCAAUAGACGAAGCCUAUAUUCUGCUAAUCCCCAGCUAAAAUUCCUGAAUAUCUUAUAUGGUUAAUUUAGUUUGUAUAGUCUUUAAGAGACCACCCUCUUUCAAGUCCUAUAGCUUUACCAUUAGAUUCUGCAAUAUAAACUACUUCCCACACACACACACUUAGUAGAUUGCUCGACUCUUUAAGCAUUAAGUCGAGUUUUUUAUUUAUCUUUGGAUGAUGUGUAUGAAGAAUGAUUUGUUAUGAACGACCUACACGUUUAAUCUGAUCUCAGAGCUUUAAGAGGAUUAGUCUCAUAGCUGUCAGCUGUUAGGAUAAUCUUGGUACACACCAAAAUAGAUAAAUAGAGAAAAAUAAAGUUUCAAAAUUAAAGAGAAAGUUCAAAACAGCAAUAGUUAUGAAACAAAGUAGUACUUGGCUUGGGUUCUUCAUUAAAUUCUGAAUCUUUCCUUUGUGUAGGUUCCAUUCACUGGAGGAAUUUGAUGAAGGAAAAAGAAGCUGCAGGAAGCGCUUAGAUGGUCACAAUCGACGGAGGAGAAAGCCCCAACCAGAACCACUCACGAGAUCUUGUGAUUUUUUGUCCAAUUACCAAGGUUAGUUUCCAGUACUUUGUAGCUACAUUAUCUGAGUGGACCCAUUUGUUCCCAGAUUUGGAGCAGACACUUGCUGUGUAUCCCCACAAAGGUACACAAAUCUUAAAAGAGAAAGAAGUAACACAAUUACACAAAGGCACACAGCUAGCUCAGUGUGCUGCCACCAUCCCUGAUUUGGGUCCACUGAUGUGUCCUCCCUCAUGACAAUCUAGUGGCCACUAAAAUAACAUGUCAGUACUCACACAUUAACAGACACAAACUGACAAAAGGCUUUUGCUUUUGAGAGAGGGGAGGCUAGUGUGUCAUGUCAUUUGUUCGUUAACAGUUGUCCAUUGCUUAGAUAUUUCUUACACGGUUUGGACUUUGGACAUUUCUUCACACACAUCGAGUGCAAUUCUUGGUUAGGCCUGGAUACCUAAGGUAGACUGUGCUUUUGUACAUCUCAAACUAGGAUUUGAGUGUGUUAGACCAAGACAUUACUUUGAGGUAGAGAUGGGUAUAUGGGCUCAGACUCGCAAGUUGGUUGGCUCGCGUAACUCGCAGCUCACCCGGGUUUUUUUUGUGUGUCAACGGUAAACAUUUCAUUGAUAGCAUGGGCCAGGCCCAUAACCCAAGAGGGUAGUACCACUGGUUGGGCAAACCUAUAGAGAAAUACAAGUAAGUUUCUUACACUUGAGCCCAUGACUCCUAUCUACACCUAACCCAAAGUUAGAACUAGGAGGUUAAUGACAACUACUUGCAAAAACAAACAGGCCCAAUAGCUCUGAGCCCAAGAAGAAUGGGCCAGACAAACCUUAGCCUUCAGGGUCUCCAAACCCUAUCCAGGCUGGUCUAAGUUCAGAUUUUUACCGGUCCUUUGAUUUAAUGGGUUGUGGCUCCUGGGCUCCAUUAAAAUUGUAAAAUUUCUAUUAAUGUGUUAGUUUGUGGGAUAUAUUUAAAGUGUUUUUGAUUAACUUGACACAUUUCAUAAAUUUUAAGGAUUUGUUACAAUUUUCUAGUAAUUUUAUUAAGUGGUAUGUGCAUUUCAAAAAAAAAAAUUAAGUGGUACGUGGGUCAAAUUGUCGGCCCACGGGUUAAGCGAGUAGAGACGAGCCUACAGUGCAGGCUUUUCUAGCUUGAUCAGUUAAUUAGCGGGCCUAAAUAGGCUUGGCUGGCCCAUUACCAAGCUCUACUGAGAGUGUUUUCUUCAUAUAUUCAAUAAUCAUAAAGUUACGAGGUUGUCUAACUUAUCUCAUGAGAUUAUAUAACUACAUCACACGUUUAAGAGUUUUACACACUUUUCACUUGAAUUCUUGUUAAUAAUAUUACUGGUCAUAAUCUCAUGACAUAAAUUAGACAAUCUCGAGAAGUAUUAUCUUGUUUUCACUAUUAUUUCAUUUAAAGUUUUUUUUACACAAGGAAAUAUAUAAAGUAAUAUUUUUAUAGUUACUAAUGAAACAAAAAAAAAAAUUCGUUAAACUUGAAUGUCUCUCUCUAAGUACAUGUCUAGAUUGGGUUGGUUUAUCUCGCUGGGAUCUGUUUAGAUGUUAUCUGGUAGUGGCUUAGGAACUGGGCAUAAGCUAGUGCAGGGGAUGGGAAUGUAAUAUGUAAUUGUUCUAUAUUGAUGAGAAUGUAUAAUAGCUAUGAAGUGUAGACAAUUAUUCAUCUUGGGGUUGGAUUUGUGUGUAUGUUAUCCUUUGACUAAGUAUUGCUUAACCUACUAUCUUUAAUGGGAUGGGGUACCUUUGCUCUCUUUAUAAUUGGAUUUUGCCUAUAAAAAAAUAUGUUUGGGUAAAUGAUGGAAAAUUACAGUGAAACAAUCAUGGUGGACAGAGAAGUUAAUUUUGUCCAUCAUGACCAGACUCACCAUGGUUUUCCACAUGCUCUAAGUAACCAAGGCUACAAUGUAAGACAGUAGAGGGAGUCAAUGUCUGAAUUUACUACUACUUUUAUCAGGCACCCAGCUGCUGCCCUUCUCAAGUCCACAUGUAUACCCUCCCACUGCUGUGGUGAACCCUGCUUGGGCGGGAGUUGUUACUCCCGCGGCAGAUGUUAGGCCCCACAGCCACAACCAACACCAGCAACAAAUCCACAUGGUUGAUAAACAGGACCUUUUUCUUGGAUCUUCUCCAUCCAGCUAUAAAGAAGGGAAGCAAGUGGCAUUCAUGCCAGGUGACCAAAACCCACAUCUUCCAGCUGCUUCCAUAGGCCAUAAGUUUGGCAGGCCUAGCCCUUUUGCAGAAAGUGAUGGGCUGAGAUGCAAAAACAUGUUCUGUGAUAGCCUAACAAGUUCAGUCCAAGAGUCCUCUUGUGCUCUCUCUCUUCUGUCAUCACCACAGGCACACAACACUGCAGGAAAUGGGUUUAACCAAAUGGUGAACCCUCACUCAUCCCUUAUGCAGCCCUUGGGCCUGAGCCUGCAUGAUAACAGCAUGGGGCCCGUGUACUCAGGUUGUGAUGACCAUUGUUCAUCAAUGUAUAACGUGGGUUCUAGUGGGUCCCAGGGGAAUGAAGCCCCUUCAAUGUUCCCCUUUCAAUGGGAAUAGAGGGUUUUAGGUUUUAUCACAAGUACUUUUUUAAUUAUCAACUUAUCUCUGGACAAGGCAAUGAGGACUAUCACUUAGCAAAACAUUGGUGUGAAUUUUUUAAGUGGUGGGGUUGCUACCGUGCAUACAAUCCACUAUUGCAGUACAUUUUUUUCCUGACUGAAUGCAGCACCAUGUUUUCAAAGGGAAGAGUAAUGUCUCUACUUGCACAUACAAUGUCUCUGUAUGGCUUAAAGGACAAAAUAAAUAAAAGAUAGGAGUAAAAUAUGAUUUGCCUCAAGUAUACAAUAAUGAACUAGAUAAGUCGAUAGAGUAAGCUUAUCCAAUACUUUUCGCUCAACAAACACAAUUAAAAUUAAAUAUGAUAGGGCCUGUGUUUGUGUGCUAUAGAUUACUAUUUACACCUGCAUUUCUCAAGGAGUAAUUUGAAUCACCUCUUUGAAUACCGACACAAGAGUAUUCAACGAAAUCCAAACAUUUAUAUAACCAACCAAAAGUUAAUUGCCCAAUGAGAGUUGAUUAACCAUGCUAUAAUAUAUGCUUUGAACAAGAAAAUAACAAAGUACAAAAUCUAGAUUAUGUGAAAAGUGUGCGAAAUAACAUCACUUUGUCAAGGAACUAUAGAGACACUUUCCUAAGGAAACUUCAGCUCACAACUCAAAUGAAGGCGUGCAUCCCUAUUCCUUAUAGCACAUGCCUUGAAAUAGUUGACAGAAAAGGAGAUUGGGAAGAAACCUGGUUGAAUAUACCCCCUCCUCUAUCUCACCUCAGAGAUACUAGCCCACUUUAUAACAAAAAUGAAGCAAGCGGCAUAAAAAGGGUGAAACAGCAAACCCAUUCUAAUUGGGAGGGAAAAACUAAUGUCCAAGACUCAGAUAAUGCAUCUGAUCACAUAUUACUCCAGUCAAUUAUACAGGACAUGAUGUUUUAAGCCAAUACUUUCAGCAAGGAAUACAAAGAAAACACAAAAGCUUGCUCUCUGUUUUAAUUCUUAUUUCCUUACAAGCAAAACGCCAACUAACAGAUACAUUGAAGACUAGCAACAAAGAGCAUUAAACAGCAAUACCCAAGGAUUUCUUGAACUUCUCAACCUCCAAAUAUACUGUAGAAUAGGGAAGGAACUCAUCGAAAUGAUCUCUACUCAGAUCAUUAAUUGCAACUGCAAGUUUGGGGAUUUCUAGGAUUUCUUCAUGGGUCAAAGUCCUCACAAACCUGGCUGGAUUUCCUGCCCAGAGUUCACCUGAUGGAAUUCGCCUUCCAGGUGGAACGACUGACCCAGCUUCAAGGAUUGAUUGUGUCUCCACCAAUGAACCUUCCAUGAGGAUGGAGUGCUGCCCAAUAAUGCACUCUGGCUCAAUAGUGCAGGACCUCAACAGGCUGUAUGCCCCAACAGUCACAUACCUCUCUACUGUGGUCUCAGCUGGAAGGCCUGUUUCAGAGAAUAAAACAUGCACAACAAAUAAGCAAUAUAUUCAUAAAUCAUAAAUAAGCAUAGCCCAUACGCACUUUUCAAGGACUUCAAAUGAAAUUUGGAAACUGCGAUGCAAAUUAAUUCCUCAUAACAGUAAACAAAUGCAAAGAACUGAAAGAAGUACUACUACCGUUCAAAAAUGUUUGUUGUUUUAGCCUUUUCCAUGUUUCCCAAAAUGUUUAUUGUUUUAGCCUUUUCCAUGUUUCCCAAAAUGUUUAUUGUUUUAGAAAUUAAAACAUUUUAUUCCCCUUUUUCCAUUCAUAUAAUAAAAUUUGUCUCACCUAUCACAUUUAAUCUGGAUCAACCACCAUUCUUUUCUAUCUACUAAUGAGUGGGUAUUUUUAAUGUGGAUUAGUUGUGAAAAAUAAAUGAUAUAGGUGAGUAUAAAUUAGGAUAUUUCAGUCAAGUUUUAUAUCAAUACAUGACAUCUUAGUGUGUGUUUGGAUACAAGUCAAAUCUAUACGGAAACUACUUUUUCCUCAAUCCUUAGAAAGAGUUCUGUUCAGUUUGUCUCCAAGUUUUGCAUUAGUGCUAACGGGUACCCAAACAUACUCUUUGUGCAUAACCUUAUAACAACAAACAUUUUGAAACAGAGGUAGUAGUAUGUAGAUAAGUCAAAUGUGCAGUAAAGGCAACUAUAAAAAAUAUUACAUUUUAAUUUUACUUUAAAACACGCUUGAAAAAAAGAGUUUUACAGCCAGAAUAGGCAGAACAAAUUAUAAGAGGGGCACAGCAGGUCUCAGAUGAGACCAUCACAUACAAGUAGAACAGACCAAUAAAAGUGGCAAAAUUAGAAGAACUCCACAAUUGUUUGGGACACAAAACCCACCACAAAAUUCCUAGGUACCAGACUGAAAAGAACAACACAAAAGGCCAGAAAGUAACAUUGCUAAAAAAAUUACAUUUCUCAAACACGAAAACACAAGCAUGUACUCUGAGCUUCUGUUGACAUGUGAUUAAGAUUCAUAGGGUCAUGACGACUCGUGACUUCAUAGAACACUACUCAAAUCAUCUAAAGAUUAAGGCAUUUGCAAAGUGAAAUAAUCAGAACAAACCAGCAUCUGCAUCAAACUCCGGAGUCCAGACACACAUCCUCCUCUCUCUCAAACAAAAAGAAUUAACUAUGUAAAAAGAAAUUGUUGGCUAGCAGAAUUUAUUGAUAUCACAAUAACAAUAUCACCUAGUCCAACCAUGAUCCAACAAGGAUGCAUCAAUGAGAAUAUCAGCAACACCAUAAACACCAAUAACUUAUAAAUUUCUAAGCAGCUCAACCUAAAAUUUGUACUUCAAAGAACAAUAUCAAUUUCCAGACAACAAACAAUAACAAUUUCCACAAUUCACUAUUUCCCAAUUACAAACAAAAUUUCCCUCUAUUUUGAUUUCACAUUUCCUCGGAAACCAAACAAAACAACGAAGGAAAGUCAAAAGCAACUGCAAUUUCCGAUUCGUGAUAGCCCCAGCCACAAUCCCCCCCCCCCCCCCCCCAGACCAAGCGGCGUGAAGAACACACCGUUCCUGAACAUUGGAGCAGAAGCCGAUGCUGAUCUUGUUGAGAUCGCCCCGGAGAACGCAACCCGGCCACACGGAUGCCCCAUCCCAGACGGUGACUUGACCGGCGAGAACCACGUUAGGUGCCACGUAAGCAUCGACGGCAAUCUUAGGAAGCCACUGCCCCAGAGGGAUUAUCUUCCUCUGCCCUCUGUAGUCCCACUUCACCGGAUCCGCCGAAGGAGCGACCGAUUUCGCUGCCUCCGUCGCAAAAGCGCGUUCAGCUGCCGCUAGCUGCGGUUGCGCGCGGUGGUUCGCCACCGCACGUGCGGUUAGUAGGGCUCUCCUCGAGAAACGUGCCAGAUUCGCCAUGGGUGAUGAGCUCGAGCUGUGAAAGUGGAAAUGGAAAAUGGAAGAGUAAAGCUGAGAAAGAGAAAUGAGAUUGUGGGCUUCAAACAGAAAUCGGGUAUUUCAGGCCCAAUUUAAUCGGGUUUUUUGGAUAAUGCGAAAAAAAAAGAAUUACCAAAAAGGGAAAAAUAUUUAUUUACCACACUAUGGUUGUAUUUAACAACGUGCAAGUGAUGUGGCGAGUGGAUCGUGUUUCGCGUCACUUAACGCGAAAUUGAGGAAAUGAUUUGUUCCAUGUGACUUGAAUCAUAAUAAGAGCAUCUCUAAUACUAGUUCUUAGAGUUGAGUUUUUAAGCUAAGAACUAAAAAUCAGGUGUCCAAGUUCUUAUGCAUUGGAGAUUGUUGACGUGAAGUUUUUAGUUCUUAAAAUAAGAACAUGUCUUAAUAAACAACUUUGUUUUCUGAGACUUACCCAAAAAAAAUUGAUUUAUGAGUUUUUAGCAUAAAAAAUACUUUUUCUCUCUCAUCUAAAUUGUUUUAUUACUUUGUGAGUUUUGUUUUAUAAAAAUAAAAAUUAUAAAUAAUGUGGUGUGGUGAGACCCAAUGAAUAGUAUUAAGAACUCAACGUUGAUAACUUAUGGUUGGAGCGAAUUAUGCAAAAGUUGCUUAAGAUUUGUUUAAGCAUAUGUGGCAGUACGAACCCACAUGAACAGUGCGUAAGAACUCACCUCUAACUCUAAGAAUUAGCAUCGGAGACGUUCUAAAACAAAACUUGCUGCUGACUUGAUUAGGGAUAGAGGGAUAUAAACUGAAUUCACGUUGACCGAGGCAUAUCAACACUAAUUCAAGUGAAAUGUAGCGAAUCCAAUUAAUCCAAAUUCGCGUGAAGUGACGUGAAUUCCUUCUCUCCGGCCACGUCACCCCAUGCUGUAAAAAAUCACCCCAUUGAGGUAAAUAAAUUUCUUUUUCCCUUUUUUGAUAACUUUUUUUUUUUUUUUCGCAUUAUUAAAAAAACAGAAAAACAAGUCAGUGUUCAUAAAAAAAGAAUCGCAGUGGUGGUGUUGAAGGUGAAGGUUCAGAGCUUGUGGUAACUGUCGUUGAAGCCGCCGGAGUCUGGAGAAGGUGGCGGCGAGUUAGGAGCACCGUGCGUCGGUUUGGAUGGUGAGGGUCUGAGGGGGCGGAGAAUGUGCUCGAGGAGGCUAAUUUUCUGAUGAGUUCACUUUCUGCAAAACUUGAGAAUGUUGAGUUUUGGAAGGUUAGUUCAUUGUUGCGUGAUUCAGGGAAAUGCAGUUGUGAAAUGCAGCAACUCUCUUAUGAGGUAUCUGAGUUCCGCUUGCGCCGCCGCAUCCAUUCAAGCUGGUUUGCCAGGGGAGGCACACCACCUGUUUGACAAAAUGCCGGUUACUUCUUCUUUUGACCAAGUGGCACUCUUGAAUUCCUACAUGGUUUCCGGAAAGUUGGACGAUGCGUGUCAGUUGUUCCGACAGAUGCGGACACGGAAUGUUGUGGGUUGGAAUGUCAUGAUUUCUGGUCAUGCUAAGAGAGGCCAUUAUUACCAGGCUCUUGAAUUCUAUCAAGAAAUGAGGAAGAAUGGUAUAAAAUCCUCGAGGUCCACACUUGCAAGUGUUUUAAGUGUGGUUGCUAGCUUAGCAGCAUUGGAUCAUGGCUUGCUAGUUCAUUCAGAAGCUAUCAAACUGGGUUUUGAGUCCAAUAUCUAUGUGGGGAGUUCUCUGAUCAAUAUGUAUGGCAAGUGUGAAAUGCUGGAUGCUGCAAAGAAAGUAUUUGAAGCUCUAUCUAACAAAAAUAUGGUCGUGUGGAAUACCAUGCUAGGGGUUUAUGCGCAGAAUGGUUAUUUGAGUAAUGCUCUGGACUUUUUCUUUGAUAUGAUGGUACGCGGUGUUGACCCGGAUGAAUUUACCUACACUAGCAUUUUGAGUUGUUGUGCUUGUUUUGAGUUCCUAGGAAUCGGUUCACAGUUGCAUGCAACUAUUAUCAAGAAAAAAUUUACAACCAAUAUAUUUGUGAACAAUGCAUUGGUAGAUAUGUAUGCCAAGGCUGGGGCUUUGAAGGAAGCCAGGAAACUGUUUGAGAACAUGGAGGAUCGAGAUAACAUUUCCUGGAAUGCAAUAAUUGUGGGAUACGUGCAAGAAGAAGAGGAGACCGAUGCUUUCAACAUGUUUCGGAGAAUGAAUUUACAGGGUAUGAUACCUGAUGAGGUAUCUUUAGCUAGUAUACUCAGUGCUUGUGGAAAUAUCAAGGGACUAGAGGCAGGACUGCAGUUCCAUUGCCUAUCAAUUAAGUUGGGUUUAGAAACUAACCUUUUUUCUGGAAGUUCUCUUAUUGACAUGUAUUCCAAGUGCAGGGCCAUUGAAGAUGCACGUAAAAUUUAUUCUAGCAUGCCCCAGCGGAGUGUGGUGUCCAUGAAUGCUCUGAAUGCAGGAUAUGCUCUGAGAAAUACUAAAGAAGGUUUUAAUCUUCUCCAUGAGAUGAAAACAUUGGGGUUGAAGCCAUCUGAAAUUACAUUUGCAGCCCUCUUAGAUGAUUGUAAAGGGCCUCCUAUGGCAAGUUUAGGCAUGCAGAUCCACUGUACCAUAGUAAAGAGAGGGCUUUUAUGUGGUAGUGAAUUCUUAGGUACCUCUUUAUUGGGAAUGUAUAUGGACUCACAAAGGAUUGCAGAUGGGAAAACUCUUUUCUCAGAGUUUUCUGACCUUAGAAGUAAAGUAAUGUGGACGGCUCUAAUUUCAGGACAUACCCAAAAUGAAUGCAGUGAUGAAGCCUUAAACUUGUAUAGAGAAAUGCGUAACAACAACAUCUUUCCUGAUCAAGCAACAUUUGUUACUGUUCUUCGAGCUUGUGCGCUCUUAUCCUCAUUGCAAGAUGGUAAAGAGAUACAUUCUCUAACUUUCCAUACUGGUUUUAACUUAGAUGAGUUAACCAGCAGUGCCCUUGUAGAUAUGUAUGCUAAAUGUGGGGAUGUAAAAGGUGCUGUCAAGGUUUUUGAAGAAUUGACUAUUAAAAAGGAUGUGAUUUCUUGGAACUCAAUGAUUGUUGGAUAUGCGAAAAAUGGUUAUGCUGAAAGUGCCAUGAAGGUCUUCGAUGAGAUGACUCAAUCACGUGUUACACCAGAUGAUGUCACAUUCCUUGGAGUGCUUACUGCCUGUAGCCAUGCAGGGUGGGUUACUGAGGGUCGUCAAAUUUUCGAUGUCAUGGUAAACUAUUAUGGCAUUGUGCCCAGAGUAGAUCACUAUGCUUGCAUGGUUGAUCUUCUUGGUCGGUGGGGUUUUCUCAAAGAAGCUGAAGAGUUCAUUGAAAAACUAGAUGUUGAACCUGAUGCUAUGAUUUGGGCCAAUUUAUUGGGUGCUUGCAGAAUACACGGGGAUGAAAAAAGAGGACAGAGGGCAGCUAAGUUACUUAUAAAGUUAGAACCCCAAAACUCUUCUCCAUAUGUGCUGCUUUCUAAUUUGCAUGCUGCAUCAGGACAUUGGGAUGAAGCUAGAUCUUUGAGGAGAACAAUGAUGCAGAAAGAAAUCCAAAAGAUGCCUGGGUGUAGCUGGAUUGUAGUGGGGCAAAAGACAAACUCGUUUGUUGCCAGUGAUACAUCACAUCCUUGUUCUGAUGAAAUAUUACAUAUUUUGAAGCAUUUGACAGCACUAAUGAAAGACAAUAGAUACCAAGAAUAUGGAAUUUGCCAGGUUGGUCAAAUUUAGAUAUUCAAAAUAAUGGGAAGUCAAGCAUUCAAUUCAAAUUUGCUUCCGGACAGAAAAGAAACUUACAUAUACUGUUCACCAGGAAAAGGAAUGCAUAAAAGAGAUAAAACAUGGGAACAACACCGACUGCUUGGUUGUUGUUAUAUGUUCCUUAGAUAGUACAGGGUAGGGAUGGACCCAUGUGUAAUUUUAGUGGUGAUGCUCCGCAUUUUCACAUUGGAAUUCUUCUUACCCAGUCAUUGACUGCUUGGUCUACAAGCUUUAGGACGCAGCUCCAUGCAAUGGGUUUAACUGAUGUGCCGAAAGUGGAUACUGAUAUUAGUAUUGCCGCAACUCUAAUGGAUAUGUAUCAAAUUAUGGGAGCCCAGCAGUAUGGUGGUUCUGCAGCUCAGAACAGUGUAUGGCUUAUUUGUGUGACUCUAAAUUCAUGUUAUCUGUUGGACAAAUAUCUAAUGUGCUUAUUUGCGUCUUCUGCUGCUGUUAUGAUAUAUGUUUUUUUGUGAAUGGCAGGUGUUUCCAGAGAGGCAGGGACAAUGGAAAGCAACAACACAAAUAAGAGAGUUUUUGAGAUCCAUAUAACGAUACUAUAGCAAUGCUUACACAGAUGGUAAAAACCAAGAUGCAAUAAAUCUAAAUUAUUCCUUCCUCUUGUUUCUACUUAUUUUAUCUUAAUAAUUUUUGUUUCCUUCCCUAGAAGGAAUUCUUGGCUCAUCUUCAAUAAUGUUAGAUAUUGAGUUUCUAACUUUCUAAUGUUUAAAUACUCUGUCCCCGGUAAAUCUUUUCUUGAACAAGUACGUUGUUCUACUGACAGAUUUUUAGGUUACUUCCAAGUUCCAACCACAGGCAGGAAGGGAAACCUGCUCUCUGGGAGCUUGAUUCAGAUUAUUAUCUCCAUGUAUCCACUAUCCGGGAUUGGGGAUGAUCUAAUUCCUGAGAAGUGGUAAGUCCUUCUUGUUACUUAAUGACUGGUAUUUAAAUCUAUCACUGACAUGCUUCUAUGAUAUGUUAAGUUCAGCAGUGCUAUUCUCAGUCUUUAUAUUUACAUAUAUUGUUAAUUUACUUUCUCACUCUUCAUUUUCUUUCUGAACUUUGCAGUUCUAAACCAAAGGUUUGUAUCUGAAACUUGCAUUAUCCUUGCAAGACUUUGAUGCACCCACUAUUUUGUUCUUGGAUAUUCUGUGUCCCAUUCAGUCUCUUUUUAAAAUAUAGUUUAUUAAUGGUCCAUUUUAUACCUAGAUGCAUAUUGUAUGAAACCUCUUAAAUUUCUUCGUUGUUUGAAUUUUAAGUUGGUCAAAUAUCAAACCAAUCCAUCACACCUUACAAGUUACAACUAAUUAAAUGGCAUUUUUGUUGCGUUGAUUUUUUUUGUUACAAACCACAUCUAUCCUCCGAUGAGGCAAUCAUGUUUGAGCUCAGUAUGACGAUUGUGGAUGGAAAAGUUCUCUUUAUCAAGUAUUUAACGCGCAUUUUCAGUGAAACUCAAACUCGAAACCACUGCUCAAACAAAAGCAAUCUCAGCUAGAUUAUCUACCCAUUUGGUGACUUUAUUUUUCUUUGACUUUGACUGGGAUUUAUAAGGAAAAAAAAUACAAAUAAGGCUUUGAAAGUAAUAGUUUUAAAUAGGAUUUUGAUUCAUUCACACCUAACUCUUUUUUCCAUAAGACACGAACUUUCUCUUCCUAUUUCUCUUGUUUUUUUUUUAUCAGAUCACUUAUCAUAUCUCUCAUUUCUCAAUUUUUUUUCUUUAUCUCUCUAGGUGCAGGUGGGACUAAAGUGUAAAUAAAGACGUAUUCUUAUAAAUAUUUUGUAUGAUUUGUUUUUCUCGCAUGAUUAAUCCGAUGACAUCCAUGUAAUAUGAGAAACUUUGAAGUUUUGGCCUGAGUCAUAUUUAGAUAAUAGGUGUUUUGUAAAAAUGAUGACUGAUGAAGUCGAACGACUUUUACAAAAUAUUAGUAUUAUGAAUGAGACCAAAACAUUUGUUAGUUUGUUACAUAAAUACUAAAUGUUCUGAUCAGGCAUGCAUCAUGAUGCUUAUAUAGCAACAUCAAAGAUUGUAUUAAUGUUUACCAAUUCAGCUUCUUAAAUAGUAGUACUCCUAAGAAAGACCUUUCAUGAUUUCAUACGUAUUUUAAUAUACACAAGCAACCUUUUCUGUGCCAGUAAUUGUUUAUUGUUCAAAUCCACAACCAGCAGGUGAUUCCUUUCACAUCUACAGUAUAAUCUUUUCAUACUAUAAAUAUAAGAUAUAAGAUCCAGCAAGGUUGCAACAAAAGACAUGGCUUCUCAUAGGAUUGGGAUUAUCUUUCUUGUCUUCGUCUGUGGUAUGCAUAUUGAGCUCAGCUUAUCCAGAAAAUAAGUUCUUCUUUUCUAUUUUUUCUUUCCAUGAUAUUAUAGUCAUGGAACAAUUGGUUCCUUUACGAGGAAAACUAGUCGCUGAUCAGAUUACUCAUUCGAGUCAUAUUUUUUACUUAGUUCCAAAAAUUAAAAAAGAAUUGAACAAAUUAACCAUUUUAGUCUGACCCUUUUGUUCAUGAUGCAGGUGCAAUUCUUUUGGAAGGCAAUCUGAAAAGGGUUGAUGCUAAAAUUUGCCCACAAAUAUGCUAUGGUGCAGCAUACAUGACUUGUCCAUCUUCAGAUAAUCAACUCAGUCCAACAUGCAACUGCUGCCUUGCAUCAAAGGGUUGUACACUUUACAAUGCAGAUGGAACUUCUAUUUGCACUGCUAGCUGAAGCAAUGAAUGUUUGUUCACAUGCUCAAAGUUUACUUUAUGAAUUUCAAUAAACUGUAAUCCAAUAAAUUCAACAGACUUCUCUGUUGAAUUGUAAUCCAAUAAAUGCAACAUAGACUUCGCUGGCUCCCUUGGAAACAGUUUGCAUGUUUUGAUAUUCAUUAUGUGAGUCAUAAUAGAUUUUGGCUAAGACACUUAAUGCAUGUAUGGAUAGAUGUUUAUCAAAAUUAAAAGAAAGUACAAUUCAAAAAUAAAGGGGGUGUGUCGGUUUUUUUUCUUCUUUUUUCCAGGUAAGUAAAAUCAAUCUAUUUUUAAUUUGAAAGAAAAUACAAUUCAAAAAUCUUUUUAAUUUUCAAGAUUCAUACAACCCUCUGUUUGGAUGCAGAGGUGAAAAUGAGAGGAAGGAAUAUAAAAGGAAUGAAUAUAAGAGGAAAGAAUAUAGAGGAAAAGUGAAGUGAUUUUGAAGUUGUUUGGAUUGAGAGAAAAGGAAUGGAAAAUGAAAGGAAAGUGAAAGUAAUGUUUAUAUGAUUACUAAUUUAUCCUUUACUUUUUUUCUUUUCUUGCAAAAUAGUGUGGUCAUAGUGGACUUUUCUUACAAAUCUCACACCAGCUUCAUUUUCACGCCAAUAUUGGGAAGAAAACUGACAGCUACUGUUGCAGUACGACUUUCAUGCCAAUUUCCUUUCCAUGCUCGUGCCAAACACAUCAGACCCCAAUAUUCCUCUCAUUUUACAUCCAAUUGUUUUCCUUUCCAUUGAAAAUCACUCGAAACAAACACACUGUAAGGAAAACAUCACAUUGCAGCAGCCAUCGUUUCAAAUGCACCUUCAAUUGCCAUAUUCGUCAUCGUCCCUAUAAUGAUCUCUUCCUCUGGUUCUCUCUUGCGAUUUCUCUCUCACCCUCUCUCUUGCAAUUGUUAUAAAUGAAUUAUUAAUUCUUAUCUAAUUUUUUUUACAAUUAUGAUAUUGCUAUUUAUGUAAAAGUAUUCAAUAUAUUUUGUCUGUAGUCAAAAUUUAAUAAUAUUAAAUAUUAUUUUAAUAAUAUAUAUUAAAUAUUAUUUUAAUAAUAUUAAUUGAUAGUCGAAAUUUAAUAAUAUUAAAUAUUAUUUUAAAUAUGAAAAACUGAAAAGUUUGACAAUUAGUAGUAAAGAAUAAUAAAGUGUCUGUUGUUUUUAUUCAGAUUUUAUUUAUAGUUAUUAAUUCACGUAUUUAAUGUAAAAAGAAUUUUUUUAUUGCCAAUUAAUGUAUUAAUUGUAAAAGUUUAAGUGAGUUUUAGGUGUAUAUAUAUAUAGUGAUAUGAGAUAUAAGGUCCACCAAGGUUGCAACAAAAGACAUGGCUUCUCACAAGAUUGGGAUUAUUCACAAGAUUGGGAUUAUCUUCCUUGUCCUCGCAUGCGGUAUGCAUAUUGAGCCCAGCUAUAAGUUGUUCUUUUUUUUCUUUUUCAUGUUAUUAUAGUUACAGGACAAUUUGUUCCUUUACGGGGAAAACUAGACUAUGAUCAUUUAGAUUGCUCAUUCGAGUACUUUUUUAAUUUGACCCUUUUGUUCAUGAUCUAGGUGCAAUUCUUUUGGAAGGCAACAUGGAAACGAAUGAUGAUAAAUAUUGCCUAGGUAUAUGCUAUGGUGCAGCAUACAUGACCUGUCCAUCUUCAGGUGCUAAACAUCUCAAACCAUUAUGCAACUGUUGCCUUGCAUCAAAGGGUUGUACACUGUACGGAGCAGAUGGAACUCCUAUGUGCACUGCUACUACUUGAAGCAAUGGAUGUUUGUUCUUGUGCUCAAAGUUUACAUGUGAAUUUCAAUAAACUGUAAUACAAUUGAAUUAGCGUUUUGCAGAACUAGUAAUGACAAUGACAUAGUAAUGAGUCUACCUAGGCCUCAUUUGGAAACACAGCUUAAUUAAGUGCUUAUGGUGAUAAGCGCUUAUGACAUAAGUGCUUAUUCAUAAGCUAUUUUAUUUUAUUUAUUUAAAUAACUUAAAAAUAAGCUAUAUAAGUAUAAACUCUUUUUCAUAAGCUAUUUUGAGUAACUUAUGAAAAUAAGCUCAAAACAGCUUAUGGUACGUCAUAAGUUGUUUGCAUAAGCACUCCCAAACACUGACAUAAGAGCUUAUGCUAUCAGAUAAGCUCAAAUAAGCUCUUCCAAACGGGGCCCUAGUUAUAAAGCAAAAAGCUAAAAAACACUUUUGAAAUCUUCACACAAAGUACAAACAAUGUGAUCCUUAUCUUAUCCCUAACAACACCACCAAAGUACAUACAUACAGAUUCAGUACAAACAUACUACUAACAAGGAAACAUAGAUCAAACAUACAUACUAUAAAUAAAAUCAAAAUACAUUUUCAGAUCCCUUUUCUCUAUGUUUGUUUACCCAGUGUUGAUGUGAACGCCAAUGGCAAUGACGAAGAUAGUGAUGAGUCCGAAGUAGAUGAUGGCGUGAACCAGAAUGGAAACACCACUUGUUUGCAUGUUUCCGAACUCAGCCACUCUUCCACUCGCCGGAAUCUGAAACAACAGCCCUGGGCUCAACAGCACGAACAGCACCACCGCUAUCACCACCGGACCCCAAUCAGCCAUUGAAGGAACCCUAGAAAUUGCAAGAAGUGACGGUUUCAAUUUUGAUUUGGGAAUUUGGGGGAAAACAGCAACGUAGUGAGUGAGUCACUCACGUUUGUUCAACAUGUCUGUAUCAUUUUUAUUGUGAUUUGGACGGCUCUGAUCUCGUGCCUCGUCACAAUAGGGAUUCGGUGAAUUGAGAUUGAUUUUUUUUUCCGAUAAGCGUCUGGUACCCAAUCACCCUUUGGAUGCCGCCAGAUUCAGGAUUUAAUCACUCACAAACACAGUUAAGGCUCAUCAUCCAUCUUCUUCAUAGUGUAUUGUGUAGGAAUCGAACUUCAUCACACACUCACUCUACGUUGCAAACUGAGCUACCCCUAUUAUUGAAAUGAAAUGAAAUUUAGUACUACUACAAUACUACUUUUUUACUCUUUUUUUUUUUUGAAAUUUGUUAAUCUCGAAAACAGAUCCAAAAACAGGUCGGUAUGGCAGCACACUGUUUUGUGUUUUUGUUUUGUGGGCCUGGCUUUUCCUUUUUUCCAUGUUAUGAUGAACAAGUUUGGGCCUUGAAGAACAUUGAAUUGGGCUUGCACACACGUUAUGACAAUUGUAUAUUGUAUACUCAUAUCACCAUCCGUUACGCGAUUUUCGUGCCGCUAUGACCUUCAGUGUUGUGACCAACAGCCGAUCCGCUGCUAUUGUGGCGCAAUGGCAUGUUAACCAUGUUUGAAAUAUAUUGGUGAAAUGUACUAGCUCCGAGAUGAUAUGCAUGUUUUCAUUAAAUUAUUUCAUAAUAAGAACUCAUUGACAUAUAGCCUUUGAUGUACUUAAAAAGUUCUCAUAUUCAAUUUGAGACUGGGAACAUGGUUCAGUAAAUGGAAGCAUAGCCUGUUAAUUUUGCUUAUCAGUAAAUGGUGCAGGAAAUAUAUUUUAUUUAAUGAACUAUGUAUAGUAAAGCAAACAAGCUUAUUCCUUGAUUUUAGUUUCAAAAUAUGUAAGUUUUGAGUAGAUGUUGUAAGAAAUCUUGUUUUCUCAACAAUCAAGUUGGUAUAAGUGAUGAGAGAUCGAUCCCUGAACAUGAAAUAUUAUAGUUGUUGUAUAUAGAUCAGAUGAUUUGAUUCACAUUUUGACAUAGGUACAAAAAUAUUGUGACAUGUGUAGCUUUGACAUUAAAGCCAUUCAAAUCGGCUUCAAGUUCUCCUAUCCCAUCACAUUACCUUUUUUCACCAAGCUACGUACACAACGUUCCUUCUCUAUCUCUCUUUCUCUCCCACGGGCUGGUCAACGGGAAUCCCCUUCUCCGAUCACAUUCCCGACCACCCCUGCCCCCGUUCUUCCAAACCCAAUCAACUUGUCUCAUUUUCAUAGCUACUCUUACACAUCAUUACAAUUUUUUUGGUGUUAAGUUUCACUUUGUGAGUUUAUAAUAACUUUUGAGUUUGUUUCAUUAUGGAUUCAUUUCUCUUCCAUUUUGAAUUCAAUGAUUUGUUUUGUCCAGGUAUUUUAUAUAACAAGGUUAUAAGGAGAAAAUGUCAAGUCAAGGUGGUUCUUCUCGAAUGAGCAAUUCAUUGUCGGAUAGCCCACGGAAGAAGAAGGUCACUGAGUUUACAACGCUUGACCUUGCCGCUCGUAAAUCAUUUACGCCUAUGCGCACGUAUGCUCUCUUCUCCAAUUCUUCUUUAAUUAUUCUCAACACUUCUUAUGAUAGAUUUGUAUUUUCAUGUUCAAGGUACUUAUCUAUGAUAUUUGUUAGAAUGAAAGUUACCUUCAAAAUGUCAAUGUCAAAUAAGUGUUUUCUAGCAAAGGUGAAAUGAAAAAAAAUGUCUAGGAAAUAUGGCUUAAUCUAAUUGAUUCAUUACAAUGUUGUAAAUAAGUAAUUAAAUCACCUUGUUAUAUCAUCUUAAUAAAAAAAUUUGUGAAUUGUGGUAGCUUCAUGUGAAAUAUUUAAGAGGAGAAAAUGAUACAUUUAUCUGUUUAGAUCAGGGGAUGAUGAUCAUGUUUUUGUUAUGAAUUGAAUUAGGGGAGAGAGAACAGUGAAAUCAUUGCGGCUCUCAAAGGCAUUAACAAUACCUGAGACAACAAAUGUUUAUGAAGCAUGUCGCCGGAUGGCUUCUCGCAGAGUAGAUGCUUUAUUACUAACUGAUUCUAAUGCUUUGCUUUGUGGGAUCCUCACAGAUAAGGUAUUAUUAUUUAGUCAUCUUUUCAUGAAUCACUAGAAAUAAAAAGGAGAAAUUUUUUGGAAUAAGUGGGACUUUUCUUCUUCAUUUCUUGUAGUUUUAACAUAUGUAACUUGUUAUUGUCUCUUUGUUUUUGGUUUAAGGACAUAGCGACAAGAGUUACUGCUCGUGAGAUUAAUCUUGAAGAGACACCAGUUUCCAAGGUUAUGACAAGGAAUCCAGUAUUUGUCCUUACUGACACUCUUGCUGUGGAAGCCCUCCAAAAGAUGGUUCAAGGUUAAUAGUACACAUAGGCUAUGUCAGUUUAACAUGUCUAACUGAUAAGUUAGCUGAAAACUGAAAAGUUCUUAGCUAGUUGUUAUUUGUUGUAUCCUGCCCUUUGAAUACAGUGAUGAUUUAUUUAUAUAGGAAAAUUCAGACAUUUACCUGUGGUGGAGAAUGGAGAAGUUGUUGCCUUACUUGACAUAGCAAAGUGUUUAUAUGAUGCCAUUGCUCGAAUGGAAAGGGCAGCUGAGAAAGGAAAGGCAAUUGCAGCAGCUGUUGAAGGUAUCGAAAAACACUUGGGAACAUCUGCUACUGGUUUGUAGAGUAUUUUAUUUUUACAUGUCUAACUUAUUUGGAUAUAAUUAAUUAGAUAGUGUUUUAUUUAUUUUCUUAAUUAAUUCUACUAACCUAGUUUCAUUUCAUGCUAAUUUGUUCUUUGUAUAGGUUCCAAUUCAUCAUUCAUUGAGACUCUUCGGGAGAGGAUUUUCAAGCCAUCAUUGUCUACAAUAAUUCCUGAGAAUUCAAAGUAGGUAAUACAUUUUUUUUUUGCUUGAGAUGAAUAAAAAUUACCUUAAUUAGUUGUAACUUUUGUAUGUUUAUUCAUCCCAAGUUGAUUCAAAUGAUAAUGACACUUUUCAGGGUUGCAACUGUUUCACCAUCAGACACUAUUUUGACAGCAACAAAUAAGAUGCUUGAAUUCCAUGUGAAUUCUGCUAUUGUGACAGUUGAUGACAAAACUUGUGGUAUCCUUACGUAAGUGUGUAGAGAAAAUUUCCACAAAUCAUCUGAUUUUGAAAAGUCAUUCAUUGUUAUCAUCAAAUUAACUUUGAUGGACUAUAUAAUUAACUUGCAUUCAAAUUUUAGUUCAAGAGAUAUCUUGAUGCGGGUAGUGGCACAUAAGCUUCCUCCAUCGUCAACUCUUGUUGAGAAGGUAUAAUUGAUGUUUUUCUUUCUAUGUAACAUAAAAAAUUAUCCUUCUUAUAUCUCUUGUCCUUUCUUUACAAAUAUUGAAAACCAUGUACAGGUCAUGACUCCAAAUCCAGAAUGUGCUACACUUGAUACACCAAUUGUUGAUGCACUUCACACUAUGCAUGAUGGAAAGUUUUUGCAUCUUCCUGUGGUUGAUAGAGGUAAUAGAAUAAAAUAUGAUAUAAGUAACAAGUUUUUAGGCUGCUAUUUUUCUGAAUUGGGUGGUUGAACAGAUGGCAUUGUUGUUGCUAUGGUUGAUGUGAUCCAUAUUACUCAUGCUGCUGUGGCGCCAGCCAGUAAGGUAUACUCCAAAUUAUGAUACUAAAUAUACAUUUUUUAGCUGCAUAUGACCUAUCUUUACUAAAUAUUUGCUAUGAUGAUUUCACUUUUCUCCACUAAUUAGGUUGGAAAUAGUGCAAAUAUGAACAAUGAAGCUACUAGCUCCAUGAUACAAAAAUUUUGGGAUUCUGCGAUGUCCUUGACUCCGAAUGACGAUGAAGAAGAUUCACAAAGGUUAUAUGUGUGUCGAUGUUUGUAGGAAAAAAAGUGAACUUUUAAUGUACUUACACUUAAUUGAUGAUUUUCCAGUGACAUUUCCACAAAAAUGAUUUCUGAGGGAGGAGAAACAGGGAGAUCUAUGUCUUAUCUUGCAUCAAGCACAAAUAGCGCAUUUUCCUUCAAAAUACAAGAUAACAGGGGAAGGUUACAUAGAUUCACAUGUGGUAUGUCAACAUUCAGACCUCUACUUUAAAAUUCUUUUUAUCUAAACGAGUAAUUUUGCACAAGUCACUUGUUUAUUGCCUAAAGUAACUAUUUCAAGUUAAUUGAUUGUUCAAUAAAAUUUGUCAAUUGAGUGGUUUGUGUAUUUGAAUGCAACUUUAGAUACACGAAGCUUAACAGAAGUUAUAGCUUCCAUUAUUCAAAGAGUCGGUGCUGAGGAUUAACCCCGAUAAUAUACCCCAAAUAAUGGCAUCAUUUGAUUAAUUGAUUGCAUUAUAUCUUUAUUAGUAAGCCAAUAUUUCCCCAUUCUCCUGAUGCAAGCUAAUCAAUUUUAUGUAGUACGAAGAUGAAGAACAUGAUAGAGUUGUACUAGCUUCUGAUGGUGAUCUUGCUGCAGCUGUGGAACAUGCAAGGACAGCUGGUUUGAAGGUAUGAUGGAUCUAUUUAUUGGUCUUGUAUCUUGAGAAUUGAAUUUAUCUUAAAGGGGACAGUUAUAUAUAUAUAUAUUGAAGAGACAUGGACUUGGAACAAUGUAGGUUAAUGUUUGAUUUUCAUUGAUGAAUUUCGUAGGGAUUGAGGUUGCACUUAGACUACUCAGGAACACGUGAUUAUGGAACUGAUACAACAUUAAGAAGUUUGGAAUAUGCUAACUCAGAAGUAUGGGCCUCAGCAUAUAGUGUUGUUACUGCUGGAGCUGCAAUUAUUGCCGGCAUAGGCCUUUUGGCUUUGUUGAGACAAAGAUAAUGAGAGAAAGAACCAAGUUUUUGUCUGGGGUAAAGGGUAGAGCUGAAGUUAGUUAGAACUUCGGAGGGGCACACUUUUUGGGCUUGCCAAUCCAUAAGUUCUAACAAUUUGUACAAAUGGGGAAAAAAGCAAAAGCAUUUAUUUGUGCUAUCAGCUUAUAAACAUGUAUGCAUAUAAUUGUUUGCUAGCUGCAUGUAAUUUUGUAGCUCAAGGUUUCAUAACUCAUCAACUCACGAAAGAACGACAUAACCAUAUGUCUCUUUUAUUCUUGUAUGACAAGUUAAUGAUAAACCAGAGAUCAAGAUUAAGUUGAUGAGAAAAAAUGAGUUCUGCAGUUUACCAUAUAAAUGUUAAGUGCAAGUAGUUUAUUUUGAUUUGUUUAGAACAAUAAGAUAAACCCAUGACAAUGUUGCAAGUUUGUACUGUUUUUUAAGAGACAAUGUUACAAGUUAGUGAGUUACUCAAAUCUUCUUAAAAAGCUAUAAUCUUCGGUAUAUUAAUAAAAAUCAAAUCGCAAGUAUAUUUGUUUGUUUUAUAAGAACGAUUAACUCAUUUGGUGUAUUCCACUAAUAAAAAUGUGACAUGUCAAUUGAAAAAAGUAUGAAAUUACAGCAUAACUUUACAUGAUUAAUUUUUAAAUAAAAUGACACAAUUUUAUUAAAGAGACGGUGAAGAAGACACUAAAUCGGCCCAAAUGAUUUCAAGCCUUACUAUUAAAGUUAAUAAAUGUUGAUAACUAUAAAAAGAUAUUUUGAAGGAAGGUAAAGAAGACAAAAUGUUACGAUAAAUCUCAACAAGAAAGAUACUCAAAUAAAAUGGAAAUAAAAAAUAUCUAAGCUCAUUAAGGAAAAGUAUAAAAAAUAUGCGAAGAAUGCAAAUAGGCGAAAAACCUCUAAUCAUAUAUGAUAAUCCAAUCAAAAGAUUCGUCAUCAGUCACCUAGUUGGCCCCUGAGUGGGUUUUACUAUCCGGGUGUGGUCUUUUUCUUUAGGAGGAUUCCUAAUUGUUGAACUCUAUAUUCGUUUGUUGCAAGCUACUAUUACUUUCUGCUGCUAAGCAAUUUGAUAUUUUGAUUCACUUUCCAUCGUACCCAUCAUUAUAUCAUUUCGUUGCUAAAGUUCAGUGUAAAAACAGUAAACUUACUAUGUUUCCUUAUCAUCUAAUCUUGCCGUGUUAAUCCUUAUUUGAUGUCCUUUAUAUCAAAGUUGAGUAUUCUAUUGCUGUGCAUAUAUCAGAAUGAAGUUGACAGGUAGGUUACAGAGUACUUGGUUGCAACAUUUGGUGAUACUUUCAUUCCCUGAUAUAAAGGCUAUGUUUGGCAUGUUUAGCUGAUAAGUUAGCUGAAAGCUGAAAAGCUAGCUGAAAGCUUAUAAGCUAGCUGAUAGCUGAAAGCUGAUAAGCUAGCUGAAAGCUUAUAAGCUAGCUGAUAGCUGAAAGCUGAUAAGCUAGCUGAAAACUGAUAACUGAAAACUGAAAAGCUACAUGAUUAAAACAAAAGUGUUUGGAAAAACUAGCUGUUAAACAAGCUGAAAUUGUAAAAUGACAUAAAAGGACAUACGUGUAUAAUUAUUUUUAUAUUUAACAUUACUUUAUUUUAAAAGGUUUCUGAUUAUCUCAGUAACUUUGUUUUAUUUUCUUCCACACGAACCACAUUUUAUAAAAUUUUGGAGAACUAUACAUAAUUUGUUCGGUUUUUGUUUUGAUUGAAUUUUGAGUAUUUUGGACUGGUUUUUCAGUUUUAAUUGGAUCGCAUGAUGAAUACCCAUAUAAAUAAAUCCAGCUGAUAUGACCCAAUCUUUGGUUGUGAUCAUCAGACUGUAUAGAAAUAGUUCGAAUUAUUCUCAAGGAUUUAUACAUCAAAGCGAUUAGACAAAUCACAAGUCAUCAAAGGGAUGAAUAGCCUAUUUGUAUGAAAAUAUUGGUAGGGGAAGUACAUAAUUCAAGGCUUCCCCGAGUAACCCCAUGGAUUGUUCUUUGCCCAAUUCCAUUGGUCCCUGCACAUCUCUUCUACACCAUACUUUGCCCUGAACAAUAGAUCAAAGCGAACAACAUCAAAACAAGUACAUGAAACACAAGGUGAAAUGAAAGAAAAACCUCUUCAACUUGUUUAUGUGCAACCAAUUUAACCAGCUUGCUAUGUGUUACUAAUCAGUUACUUACUUCCAACUAAGUUCUUUCUCAGCUUUCUCUGUAGAUGCAUAAACCUCUGUGGCAUCUCCCGGCCUUCUUGGACACAAUUUAACAGGAAUUUUCUGAAGAUAUCAUAUAAAUGGAAAAAGGUAAAGCUUCAGACAUAAUUAAUUUCAUUAGUUUUUGUAUGCGCACGUGCAGAAUUCUACAAGUGUAUCAGGAAGAUUUAUAAUUACCUUGCCAGAAGCUUUCUCAAGUGCAGUAACCAUUUCAAGCACAGAUGUACCCCGACCAGUUCCCAGGUUAUAAGCAGUACAACCUGAGGACCAAUUUGUCACAUUAGCAUACAGAAACUCAAGAUAAUCAAUCUACAAUUGCUAGAACACUCCGAUACAAUCGCUCAUGAUCAUGUUGCAGUUCUAGUAAAUGCCUAAUAUUCUAACAGAUAACAAGUUUGUUCAUAUGGAUAUAUAAGGCUAGGUAAAGAACAAAUUACCUAUGUUCUCUGUGGUGAAAAGCUUUCUCAGAGCUGCAAUGUGACCAUCUGCUAAGUCCAUCACAUGGAUAUAGUCCCGGAUCUUAUUUUGCAAAAGAUAAGAGAAAGGAGGGUAAGCAUUUUGGCAGGAGUAAGAAAUAUAUCUAUGCUAUUAUUUGCUUGACCACCCAACAAUUUAUCCCAACUGUGACAAUGGCUAGUCUGGUGCAAGUAUAUGUUUUUAAAAUAAUUAUUAUCAAUUAUAUAGGAUGUUAAUUGUGUGACUUUCACGCACCGCAGAGCCAUCUCUUGUAGGAUAAUCAUGACCAUAUACAUUGAGUUCAGGUAACCUUCCAACAGCUACUUGCUGAAUGUAAGGCAUGAGGUUAUUUGGGAUGCCUCUAGGAUCUUCACCAAGUUUUCCACUCUCAUGCGCCCCUACUGGAUUGAAGUAUCUCAAUAAAAUGAUCUUCCAUUCUGGCUCAGCUUUCUGGAUAUCCCGGGCAAUUUCUUCCAGGAAAAGCUACAGUGAAUUGAACUCAAUUAGUGUCAGAGCAAACAGACAGACAAAGCAUUAGAACCCAAAAGCAGGUAGUUAACUCAAGUACUCAACUACUCAAGUAAGUUCAUUCAUACUUUGUACAAUUGCCAACAUCACACUCAUAUAAAUUAUUGAAUUGAAAACAACAAGCCCCCAACACAAUAAAUUAAUAAAAAGUAAUCCAAAACAAUCUAAAGACAUGUUUGGUUUCUCAACUUGCAACAAAUAAAGGCAAAUUUACUCAGGACAUAACACAUAAGAUCAGUAGCCCCCAAAGGUUAGCUCAAGUAGUAAGAGUUAGGGGACAUAAGGGUUAGGUGCGAUGAAGGAUGAAGGUUGAAGGGUCUAGGGUUCGAACCCGAAGGAAAGACUAAUUUACUAUCAUUACUAACAACUAACAUUUGCCUAUAAAAAAAAACAUAAGAUCGGUAGCUUUUAACAGAAAAGUGAUUCUAAAGCAUUUUACGGCGGAACCAAACAAACAUCCUAUAGAAGUUACCUUGGUGCGUCCAUAGGGAUUCAUGGCUUGUAAAUCAAAAUCCUCCACGCAAGGUAUCUUUUGAGGUUGGCCAUAAACUGUUGCAGAUGAAGAGAAAACCAUCUGUGCAGCAUGAACACAUAUACCAUAUCAAUAUGAAAGACACUGGGGUUAACAUGAAAGAUGAAUAUAUAAAAUGAUCUACAAAUAUUGAAGUCAAAAUAAAAAAAAAAUUAAUAAUAUGGUCAAAAUAUUGAAGUUUGAUACCUUUUUAACGUUAUACUUGGCCAUAGCUUGAUAGAGAUUGAUGGUGCCAACGAGAUUGAAAUCAAAAUAGCGACGGGGAUUAGCAACGCUUUCUCCAACCGCUUUUAGCCCAGCAAAGUGAAUCACAGCAUCGAAUCUGAUCCAUUUCAAAAAAAAAAUCAAUUAUACACUACAAACUUUACUAAUCAAACAGAAACAAGCAAAACAAAAAUCCAGAAAUUCAAUUGAUUACUUUGUUUUGGAGAAGAUUUCCUCCAAGUCAUCCUUAUUCCUGAGAUCACCCUGCAAAACGAGAGCAGAAAUGCACAAUUUAGUGAAUAUACAAACAAUUUUUUGAAUAUUGAAAUUGAUGAAGGAUGAAGAAUUAAAGAGAGACCUACCUGGGUGAAUUGGAGGUUUUUGGAGAGGUGAGGGCCAACGACUUCACGGACACGGUCGACGGCUUCCAUGCAGGAAUUAUCGAAAUUGUCGAUGAUGGAGACAUGGAAGCCGUCAUGGAGAAGCUGAACCACCGUGUGAGUGCCGAUGAAGCCGGCACCGCCGGUGACCAGAAUCUUCUGCUGCGGCGAGGAUGAUGAUACCAUCUUGUUUGAAUUUGGGGAUAGAAUUUGGUGUGUGAGAAUUUAUAGGGAGCGAGAGAAUUGGAAGCACGAGAAAUGUGCUUGCUUGGGUAAUGAAAUGGAAUGAAUUAAUUAUUUUUAGGGAAUGUUAAUGUUGGGGUUGUUUUAGUGUGUUCUUAUCUUUACUAAUUAGUAAUUACUCUCAUUAGUUUAGAUUUGGCGCGCGCUUUUUACCUUUCAUUCUUCAUAAUUAUUUUAUGUUUUGCGCGUGGGUCCCCAUGUUCAGUUUUUGGGAUUUGGAUUGAGCCGCCACGUCAUCUCCCGUCAUGGGCCAGUUGUCAUCUUCAUCAUCAUCUACUCUGUUGAGUGUAGAGUGCAAGGGAGAUGAUACUGAUAAAAGUACAAACGCUCAUUUAUUAGCAAUGAAAACUAUUAAAAUAUAUCCGAAAAGAAGUAAUAUAGUUAAAUAAUUUAAAAUAUUUAUUUAAAUACUACUUUUAUGAUUUCUGAUAUAGAAUAAAUGUUCAAUUUUUUUGUUUCGUUACUAUAAAUUUUAAGUUUUAAUUUUGUAUUGAGUAUUUAUUCUUUUUUAAUACUUGAAUUAAUAUUUUAAGGAAAGUGAAUGAUGUGAUUUCAUCAGUGCUGCUAAUUUAGAGUUUUCAAUUUUCAAAUGGUUAUUUAGUUUUUUUUUGCAAUUAAUUGUGUUGUUUGGAUUUAGGAUGUUUAAACUACAUGAGGAGUGAGGACAAACAUGGUUACUUGUCUGAAGCAUUUUGUUUUCAACGUUCCAGGAUAAGAGGUUAGAGGCAGCGUGUGCGGGCAACCUUGGGAUGCAGAAUUUAUUUUUUAUUUCUUUUAAAAGAAAAAUUGUAGUACUAAACUUCUACUAAGAUUUAUUAUUUUUACACUAUCCCCUUUUAGUGUUUUAAUAACCACUUCUAUUUUAUCAGAAACAUUGCACUACCUCUUAUGAGAUUUACCAUAACUACAUCGACUUCCGGCCCUUAAGUUUUAUGAUUGACACUCUUAUGUUGUUCUAAAUGAAAUAUGAAUGAGAGAAUGUCAAUACAUUUUUGCAAAAUUGAGGAGAGAUCAAUAUAAAAAUGACAUUUAUGUGUUUUUUUUUUUUCAAUAGAAUAAGUGUGUGUUGGAUAUUGUUUUAGGCCAAUGUUCUCUGGAUCCACAUUCCAUGGACUGAUCUAACCCAUUAUCGCCACAACCCCAAAGCGGGCUAACGGCCCAUUGUUCGAAUUGUAACCUUAUUUUUGAAAUUGAAUUGUAACCUAAAUGAACACAUUGUAUUGCCAAUAAAAUUAAAAAAUUUUGUAGUCAAACUGUUUUCCACACUACUUUUACACUGCUAGCAUAGCUUUGUUUUUAUCUUGUUGUAUCACUCGGCUGUGUAUGUUCAGCUUUGUAUCCUUGUGUCUUUGGGCCUUUGGCCUUUUUCAAUGAUAAUCUAUUAUUGACAAAAAAAAAAAUUGUAGUGUGUAGCCAUGUGGCAAAGGAAGUAAGCACACACAUCAUAUGAAUUAUCAGGCGAUGAUGGCACAACUAAUCGUGCAUGUUGCAUAUAUUAACUUUGUAAUUUUUUUUUUCCUGUUAAACAUAUGUUCCUUCUACCAUUUCUAUGAAGCCAUUACUAAUUCAUGCAAUUCUUGCUUGAGAUGGUCAGCUAGGAGUUAUAUCAGUUUGGUAUUUCUAUUUAUUUAAGUGUGGGCAUGCAUCAUGCAUGUGUCGUUGGUAGGGUACGUAGGUCAAUCUCCGAAGAUAUACAUGGCUAGAAACACCGACAAUCAAUUAUAUAUUUUAAUUAUUGCAAACAAAUGUAUAUACCCUUAGUAUAUUCCAAUCCUCUUUAUGCAACUACAAUUAUAUUCACACUUCUCUACUUUUUCCAAUUAUAUUCCACUCAAUGCUACUUACAAAUAAAUAUAAAAUUAUUCAUACAUGUAGUGUUUAUGUUUUUGAGAUAAUUAGUUGUUUGACAUUGUAUCAGAGCGUUAAUGGCCCAGUGGUUUAGAAUUCGAUUUUAAAAAGUUGAAUUUAAGAGUGAACAUGUACAUUAUCCACGCAUCAAGCUCAAAUAACUCUUACGUGAGAGAACGUGUUAAAAUAUAAUAUAAAAUCAUUGGUGUGACCAUUAUUCAGCGGAUAAUUGGUUUUCAUAUUAUCCAUAUUCAAUUUUCUUUUUGUGGAAAUACGCAUUCAAUUUUCAUUCACUUAAUUGUUGUUCACUCCAAAUGUCUAGCUACAAAUUUCUAAGGACCAAAAUGAAAGAUGACAUUAAUUUGAACUAGCCACCACCAGAAGUGUAAAGAUGAAAUUUGAUUCUUUCUUCUGCGCGUUAAAUAAAAGAGAAACCGAACACCUAAAAUGAAGAAAAGUCGCACAUAUUCUCGGCCCCUGAGAAGCAUGCACGUAGACAAAUAAGUUUUGUUGACACGGCAAUUUAUUAUAAUCUUACAAAGUCCUUUAGAAUAGAAGCAUAAGCAUUACAGUACGACACUCAAAGUGCAGACACCUUAUUUUCUUUAUUUUAGAGGUAUAUAUGUCCAUGACUGAUUGUCAGAGACCACAUAUAAGGUUGUUAAUUGUUAUGUUCAACUUCAUGGGCAGAAGACAACCCUGUAGUUGGUUCCACCGGGACACGAGUGCGUCUUUGUAUCAUCACUAGGGUAGAGAUAAGCAUCAGGGCAUUUAUCAGCAUUGCAUCUCAAUGAACGUGUGCACCCAUUCGACGUGGGACUAAAUUCCAUCGGAACAUUGAACCCGUCAAUCACCGAGAUAUCGUAGUAAUCCUGAUUGUUCCCUCCGUUCAAUGUGAAUUCAGCAAGUGUGGUGGGUGGUCUACCGGAUAGAGAGCAGCUCAGCGCGCCACCGCAGUCACCGGUCUGGCAACUGCCACGGCCUGAGCCGUCGAAGUUGCACCCGGUUCGGCCCCAAAUUCGGCCUGAUGAGCCGGCAUUCAAGUUCAGGGGCCAUGUCUCGCCUGAGUUCAACCUCCUCCCGCCGCCGGGCAAAGAGGCAGGCCACACGGGGUAGGAGCAGCGGUUCGUGAUGUCGAACCUUGCUGCUUGUGCUAAGGUGAAGCAGAGAGCAAUGAGGGAGAAGAGGGAGGUUUUCAUGAGAGCCAUUUUGAGUUUGGGGUGAGUAAACUAGGAUGUGAGCACCGAUAUUUAUAUAGGCCAUGAUCGGAGAAGCUGACACACUGAUAAUACGUAAUGUGGUGGAAAAUGGAAAAGUCUAGUGUUAUCUAUUCUAUGCUGUCACACUAAUAAUACAGCACACAUACGUGAAGUGGCGGCAAUUGAAAAGUAUGUAGUGCUACUAUUCUUUGCAGACCCCAGACUUGAAUGAUUUGAGUUAUGAUAUAUUGGUAUACUCAAUUUUCUCGUUAAACACUUUCUCUUAUAAUUUAUUUUUAUCUAAUUUAUAUCACAUCUACCUAUUAUAUCACUAAUUUAUAAGAGUAUUGUUGGUGCUAGCAAAAUAUACAGGAGGCGUUUGUUUCAAGAUUUGGAAAGAGAUUCCCGGGAAUAUAAAGGCUGGGAAUGAACAUUUCUGCGUUUGUUACAAGAUUGGAAACUAAGAUUUCUGGGUAUCAAUCAUUCCCGGGAAUAAAAUAACUUCCACAAUUCCCAUGAUUUCCUUCAUAUUGAUUCCCAUGAAAAAUGUUGGGAAUCUUACAUUCCCAUGGGAAAGAUGAAUGUAACUUUUCACUUCUUCCAUAAUUUAUCAUUUUUACCUCUAUUUUUAAGUUUUUUUAAUUUUUAAAUUAAGAAAAUUUUAAAAUGUUGGGGGGAAUACAAAAUACUUACCAAACACAUUUAUAAAAUUUAACCAGGAAUAACAUACCCGAUAAUCAUAUGCCGGGGAAUAACAUUCCCGGAAAUGUGAUCUCAAACCUUGAAACAAACGCCCCCAUAUAAUUCAAUUAAUUUUUUUAUUUACAUGCAAAUUAUUAUAUUUGAAGGAGUUUUAUUACAUGCACACAUUAUUUUAUCUAUCAUCUCAAAUCCAUUCACUUUCUCUCUUUAGCUCUAUUAUUUUUCGACCAGAUCACUCUUUCUCAAUAUAUAUCACUUAUUUGGAGCUAGAUUUCAGGUGAAGAUAAAAAAAAAAUUCCUAUUUGAAGUGAAUGUGAGGCUUCUAAUAUCUAUGUGUUUAGAUAGAUUUUUUUUUUAAAAUAAGAAGAUAAUAUAUUGAAAAAUAAUAAACUUGGGAACAAGACUCUCCUAAAUGAGCCAAACAAAGAUAUGUUUAAAUAGAUAUUUGAAAAUGAUUUUCCUUAUCAACUAAACGUGACCUUCACUGGCCCCGUAGGGAUGCACAGGCCGGAUUUCCGAUUAACUCAUCCGACCCAAAUCAAUAUGGAGGGCCCAAAAAUCAGAUUUGAUUGGAGUGGAUUCUAGAAGAGGAAAUCCGAUUAGGUAGUUUGGUUUGAAUUUUGAGUUUGAAAAAAUGAAACCCAAAUUAAACCAUAAACCUGAACAUAUAGGAAACAUCAAUGGAGGGAAUGGACACGGANNNNNNNNNNNNNNNNNNNNNNNNNNNNNNNNNNNNNNNNNNNNNNNNNNNNNNNNNNNNNNNNNNNNNNNNNNNNNNNNNNNNNNNNNNNNNNNNNNNNNNNNNNNNNNNNNNNNNNNNNNNNNNNNNNNNNNNNNNNNNNNNNNNNNNNNNNNNNNNNNNNNNNNNNNNNNNNNNNNNNNNNNNNNNNNNNNNNNNNNNNNNNNNNNNNNNNNNNNNNNNNNNNNNNNNNNNNNNNNNNNNNNNNNNNNNNNNNNNNNNNNNNNNNNNNNNNNNNNNNNNNNNNNNNNNNNNNNNNNNNNNNNNNNNNNNNNNNNNNNNNNNNNNNNNNNNNNNNNNNNNNNNNNNNNNNNNNNNNNNNNNNNNNNNNNNNNNNNNNNNNNNNNNNNNNNNNNNNNNNNNNNNNNNNNNNNNNNNNNNNNNNNNNNNNNNNNNNNNNNNNNNNNNNNNNNNNNNNNNNNNNNNNNNNNNNNNNNNNNNNNNNNNNNNNNNNNNNNNNNNNNNNNNNNNNNNNNNNNNNNNNNNNNNNNNNNNNNNNNNNNNNNNNNNNNNNNNNNNNNNNNNNNNNNNNNNNNNNNNNNNNNNNNNNNNNNNNNNNNNNNNNNNNNNNNNNNNNNNNNNNNNNNNNNNNNNNNNNNNNNNNNNNNNNNNNNNNNNNNNNNNNNNNNNNNNNNNNNNNNNNNNNNNNNNNNNNNNNNNNNNNNNNNNNNNNNNNNNNNNNNNNNNNNNNNNNNNNNNNNNNNNNNNNNNNNNNNNNNNNNNNNNNNNNNNNNNNNNNNNNNNNNNNNNNNNNNNNNNNNNNNNNNNNNNNNNNNNNNNNNNNNNNNNNNNNNNNNNNNNNNNNNNNNNNNNNNNNNNNNNNNNNNNNNNNNNNNNNNNNNNNNNNNNNNNNNNNNNNNNNNNNNNNNNNNNNNNNNNNNNNNNNNNNNNNNNNNNNNNNNNNNNNNNNNNNNNNNNNNNNNNNNNNNNNNNNNNNNNNNNNNNNNNNNNNNNNNNNNNNCCCGCCACAGUAGAAACUAGAUUUGCUAUGGCUGAAUGACGCCACCGAAAUCGGGGUGUUACAAAGCUUGUAAUAGACGAGGUGGAGUGAUGAGGGCCUUAGUCGUUAAGAAUGAGACCCAAACAGAGGUUUGAAGUCACUUGAUCGACCUUGAGGAUCGCCAUGCUUGCCUAUUUACACUCAGCAAUAAUCCCCGCCAAAACAGCAGUGCUCUAACUCUGGUCCACAAUUGAUUGUGGAGUAAGAGGUAAGAGUAUAAAAACUGAUGGUCGGAGAUGAUUAUGCGUCGAAACAUAAAGUUAUUAAAAAUUACAUUGCUAGUUAGUAACAAAUUUCAACAAUUUUUUUUUUUGGUACAAACAAACAAUUUUUUUUUUUGAAACUUAUUUUCUUAAUCAUAAACAACUAGGUAAAAGUAAUAUCAUUAGAUUUGGCACCCCACUCAUUAGAAAUGACACCCCACUUACAGAAACUUAGUUUCCGAAAUAUUUCAGAAAUAAGGUUUGCGAAGCACUUUUUCACUCAAAAGUGGGGUGUUACAUGUAUUUUACACUACAAAUCACGAAUUAAUGAUUCCGAAAUAAUUCGAAACUUGAAAAUCCGAAAAUUGGGGGUGUGAAAUCUAAUGGUUGAGGUGGCAAAUCCAGCUCUCUAAAAGUAAGAUAUUUACCCAAAAAAAAACAAGGGAUAUAUAAAUAGAGUUGUUAGCGUGCGUGAGUGAGUUGAGUUACCCGGGCUACUCCCAUUCGAAUCGGGGUACUCUAACUCUGCAAUUCCACAUGCCCAAUCGAAUCCUCUGCAAUCCCCAAUCUCGAAACCCUAGCUCUAAUUCCCCGUGAAAUGGAAUCGAUCGGGGUACUCCUUGUUCGCCGAUUGCAGCCCUACCUCGAACAAGAGCUAGAGAAACGCUACAAGGUGUUCCGCACGUGGGAUUACCCGCAGAAAUCCCAGCUGCUCAGCCACCACGCCGCCUCCAUCCGCGCUAUCGUGUGCCACGCGAGAGCCGGCGCUGACGCGGAGUAGGGUGUUGGAGUGGACAAGAUUGACUUGAACAAGUGCAGGGAGAAGGGGAUUCGCGUCACCAACAUCCCCGACGUGUUGACCGAUGAUGUCGCCGACUUGGCUAUUGGCUUGAUCCUCACACUCCUCAGAAGGAUCUGCGAGUGUGAUGGCUACGUCAGAAGUGGGCAAUGGAAGAACGGUGAGUACAAAUUGACCACUCAGUUCUCUGGGAAAACUGUUGGCAUUGUUGGAUUGGGAAGGAUUGGGGUCGCAAUUGCGAAGAGAGCUGAAGGAUUUAACUGUUCAAUAUGUUACUAUUCUAGAACUGAGAAACCAUAAUCAAAAUACAAGUACUAUCCUAGUGUUGUUGAGUUAGCAUCCAACUGUGAUAUACUAGUUGUUGCUUGCUCUCUUACACAGGAAACCCAUCACAUCAUCAACCGGAAGGUUAUUGAUGCACUUGGUCCCAAGGGGUUUCUGAUUAACAUUGGACGAGGUACGCAUGUUGAUGAGGCAGAGCUGGUGUCUGCAUUGGUUGAAGGUCGUUUGGGUGGAGCUGGGUUGGAUGUGUUUGAGAAUGAGCCUCAUGUUCCUGAAGAGCUGUUUGGGUUAGAAAAUGUUGUCUUGGUUCCUCAUGUUGGACCUGGCACAGUAGAAACUAGAUUUGCUAUGGCUGGCCUUGUCCUUGGAAACCUGGAGGCUCAUUUCCUUGGAAAACCNNNNNNNGUUACUAAAGUGACCCUCAAGAAAUCGGGGCGUUAUAGUUUCAUUGCAGAAAAAUCAGAUACAUUUGAAGUCUUUAGAGAACUUAGUCAACAACUUAAAAUAGAGAAAUGUUAUGGGAUUGUAAGGAUUUGAAGUGAUCAUGGGAAGGAAUUUGAGAACAGAAAAUUUGCAGAGUACUCUAUUAAUGAAGGCAUCAAACAUGAGUUUUUAACACCAAUUACUCCUCAACAGAAUGGUGUGGUUGAGAGUAAGAACAGAACCUUGCUAGAAUCUGCUAGAGUUAUGCUACAUGCAAAGAGGGUUCCUUAUCAUUUAUGGGCUGAAGCUAUAAACACUGCUUGCUACAUACACAAUCGUGUGACCAUUCGUUUAGGUCCUGAUUCUACUCUAUAUGCGUUUUGGAUAUGAAAGAAGUCAACUGUCAAAUGCUUUCAUGUCUUUUGAAGCAAGUGUUACAUUCUAACAGAUCGUGAGCAGAGAAGGAAAUUGGAUCCUGCAAGUGAUGAGAGAAUAUUUCUGGGAUAAUCAAUCAAUAGCAAAGCAUACAUGGUAUACAACUCUCGCACCAAGACCCCGAUGGAGUCUAUAAAUGUUGUUAUUGAUGAUAAUGUAAGUGAUAUGAAAGAAGAUGUUGUAGAUGAAGAUGACAAUAUACCUCAGUCAGUUGAUGCUAGACCAAAUGCCUCAGACAUCCGGUCCAAAACUGCAUCUGAAGAUGAGAGUGAGUGUAACGCCCCAAUUUCUCAACUGAGGAAUCACAUAAGUAACCUAACAAAGUCUAAGGACUAUUAUGCAAUCCCUAAAAUUCAAGGGUAUUUUUUUUAAAAGACUAAAUACCAUAGGGUUGGAAACAUUUCAUAACUUUAUUUAAAUAACCUGUUUCCCGACAUAAUAAUAUACAUAACAUAGAGUAGUUCACAACACCAUAAACAGGGUUCCAAAAUAAGUACGCCUCCUAACCUAGCUUUAUUAUGCUGAUUAUGCUUUUGUUUAGUUGUUUUACUGUUACCAUGGACAACUUUGCUAUUGUUCACUGUUCAGUCCAAAUUAUGUAUUGAUUCAUCGGUUUUCUUCCCUUUAAAACCAUAUAACAACUUGUAAUGUUAGAAGUUGUCGUGGAGAAGCUACUUUAUAGGCAUGUUACAUUUCCUUCCUCUAGCCAUUCUCAUUUGCCAAGGAGUAUUAAUUCAAUGCAUACUCUUGUGUGGAAUUUGAUUCAAUGCUGUGACAGGAAGGCCCAUUAGUUUCUUCUAUGCUCUUUGUAGCUGUUUCAAGUAUAUCUUUGUAGCAGGAAAUGUUAUGCUGAUAAUUUCCGGUCAUGCUUAACAUUCUGCUUUCAGAAUAAGUGUGAAGUAUCUGCAAAUUUAUGUGAUAAUAGCGACCAUGAUUUGCAACAGCGCUGGAGUGCUUAUGAUAACAUGGGACUGCAGAGGUAACGACAUGAUGGCGGCAUCUAUAGCUUGUCAAAGCUGUGUCAGGUGCUUUGUCAGCAAUGGGUUGUAGGCGCUGUGUUGCAGCAGCAGAUAUUAAGGUGGCAAAGAUUGAUUCCUAUUUUCCACUUAAGCUUUGUUCUUUUCUUGCCUAAGGACCUUCCUCAUGUUUAGCACCACUGUUAAUAUUAAUUCUAGUGAUUAUGAUAAAUGAAGAUUGUUUGAGCUUCUUGAUAUCUAUGUUGUUGCUUCUCAGUGUCUGAACAAUUGUAAAGAUAUAGUUAGUUCAUCCUCAUUGUGUGAUUUCUUGAUCUGAUUGAAAAUAGAUAGGAAACAAUUUUUCAUGCCCAUCUUAUUACCGCUCUAUUUAUGAUUGACUAGUUUAAUAAAUAUCAUAAUGAGUUUUAAAAUUAGAUUUCAGUGAAUAGUAAGAAGAGGAUAACAUGACCUUUUAAAUUAGAGAGAGCUUGAUUGUAGGGGAGAAGAUCCUCCCAUGUGAAAUUUCUCUCAUUUGGGUUUUACUUAUUGUAACAAAGAGGGUGUACCAUACUCAAAAGGAUUUUUAGUUAUUAAAAUCGUUAAAUGGACCAAAAUUGUUUAUUUAUUUUUUGAUGUAACAAAAUUGUUUAAUUUUAAAAGUAUAAGAAUUUAAUUAAUUAAAAAAUAGAGGAAAAAUCAUAUCUCAAAAAAAGAGGAGUCCAAAGUGCUAUUAAGCUUUUUUUUUUGUGCAUGGGAAAACAAAGUGCUAUUCAGAUGGGAUUGGAAUGUCUCCAUACAGUGGUACCUCGUGAGAAGAACAAAGCGGCAGAUUUCAUGGCGAAGCAGGCAUCGAGAGAGGUCUCCCCAAGACAGUUGUGGCGACUGCCACCGAUGGCUGUUAUAGAGUACUUUUGUAGUGACGUUAUUAGUAGUUAGUUCUUGAGCUUUUAGUUUUUCUCUUGUAACAAAAAAAAACUUAUAUAUAAUAAUAUUACAAAAAUUACAAACCGAAAAUUUAGAUAUUUUAUUCUCAUAAAAAUUUAGAUAUUUAUUAAUGGUUGAGUUGAGUCUCCAAUCGGUUGAUUAUUUCGCGGGCAUCGACGGUUGUUCUGUUAUUCUGAAUCACGAAUCUCUACAAACGGUUCCCGAGCCUAAAACUGUGCUUAUCUUCGCAUCGAUUUCCCCUGCCGGUGGCGGUGAGCCCGCCGUUCAAACCCGAUGACGUAUUUGGAGGGGAAUGACGGUGGUCGCUCAAGGGAGGGCGAUGGUGACUACGUUAAAUUACGGUGGGGAACUCAAGAUUCUCAAUCGGAGGUCGCACUUCCUUCUCCGCCACCGCGAGGUGCUGCGAAGCUAUGGUUUUGGGUUAAAUUGGUGGCGUCUUUCCUAUGUCUAGGGCUAUUGGCUUUCAUUGUUUUCCAAUGGGUUGGACCCUUUUUUAUAGAAAAGGUUUUCACACUUUUUCCCUUCAUUCUCCAAAUCACCACUUACAUUGAUUGCUUGACCUAAUUGUGUUUUAGGGCUUGUUUUUCCUUCUUAGAAAUUUCAAUUUUCAUGAACAAGUCAUGCAUAGAUAGGUUAUAUAUAGAUUGCUUGCAGGCAAAUGAUUGUUUCAAAAGUGAAUAAUUGUGUUUUAAUUAUAAUGUUGAAUCACUUAUGUCACUGAUGAUGUAUGUACAUUACUCUUAUUUUUAGGUGAUUAUUCCAAUAACAAAUUGGGAGAGGAACAGAUUCAGUCCUUCGGAGUUAGCGGUUAUGUUGUUUGGUUCUAUAGCACUAUUUCCUACCUUGCUUUUGCCCUCUUCACCUUCCAUGUGGAUGGCUGGAAUGCUAUUUGGUUAUGUUUUAGGAUUCAUGCUAAUAAUUUCUGCAGCUGCUGUGGGAGUAUCCCUCCCCUUUUUCAUUGGUUCAAUCUUCCAUCGCAAAAUCGAAGUAAGUACAUGUCUUCAGUGUUCGCAUCUGUGUUCAUGUGUUUACCUCACCUGUGCUAAUUAGGAUAUUACUCAUGAUUCUUUGCAGGGGUGGUUAGAAAAGUAUCCAAAGAAAGCUUCUGUUUUAAGAUUUGCCGGUGAAGGAAAUUGGUUUCAUCAGUUUCAAGCAAUUACUUUAAUAAGGAUUUCUCCAUUCCCGUAUAUUCUCUUCAACUAUUGUGCCGUCGCAACAACUGUUAAGUAUGGCCCUUACUUGUGCGGAUCCUUGGUAGGAAUGGUGCCAGAAGUACUUGUUUCACUCUAUACGUAGGGUCUCCCUCUCUAAUAUACUUGGUUAUACUAGGAGCUUGCUUUUGGUUUGCUAUAGCUAUUUGAAUACUUGGAUUACUUAUCAUAUAUGUAUUACUUGUAUGUAAAAUAAAUGUAUUACUUGUAUGUAGAUGUAGAAGUUUUCAUGUACAUCAAAAGGUAUAGAGGGUAGCCAUUAAUGAUGGCUAGCUAUGCCUCCAUCAUGAGUAUAUUUUGAACAAUAUUGAGUGAUAAUUGUUUCAUUAAGGUGUCAUAUGAUGGCUUCUUGAAUAAAUUGAUUAGUUGCAUUUCGUCAUAUUAGCUGUGUUACAUAUCUGAUCUGAUUAAGGUGAGACUAAUAUGUGACAUGUGGAACUACUGUUCUGAUAAACUUCUUUUGUUGAAUUGUUAUGGCUAUGGACUAUUGAAUUCAUUGGCUGCUUGAUCCUCACCACCCACCAGCUGGAUACAAUAUUUUCUUAUCUUUUUUAUGUUGAAAAUGUAUACAUACUUAGCAGCAAUAAGACAAUUCCUGUGUCAAUUCUAUGUUUGACAUUUUUUUCUUCUUAUUUUCUCUCUGCCCUUUCAGGUCGUUUUUGAAAACUUAUAUCACCUGAUCUGCAAUACUAUAUAUCUUAAUUGUCAUUUCUUUGCUUUNNNNNNNNNNNNNNNNNNNNNNNNNNNNNNNNNNNNNNNNNNNNNNNNNNNNNNNNNNNNNNNNNNNNNNNNNNNNNNNNNNNNNNNNNNNNNNNNNNNNNNNNNNNNNNNNNNNNNNNNNNNNNNNNNNNNNNNNNNNNNNNNNNNNNNNNNNNNNNNNNNNNNNNNNNNNNNNNNNNNNNNNNNNNNNNNNNNNNNNNNNNNNNNNNNNNNNNNNNNNNNNNNNNNNNNNNNNNNNNNNNNNNNNNNNNNNNNNNNNNNNNNNNNNNNNNNNNNNNNNNNNNNNNNNNNNNNNNNNNNNNNNNNNNNNNNNNNNNNNNNNNNNNNNNNNNNNNNNNNNNNNNNNNNNNNNNNNNNNNNNNNNNNNNNNNNNNNNNNNNNNNNNNNNNNNNNNNNNNNNNNNNNNNNNNNNNNNNNNNNNNNNNNNNNNNNNNNNNNNNNNNNNNNNNNNNNNNNNNNNNNNNNNNNNNNNNNNNNNNNNNNNNNNNNNNNNNNNNNNNNNNNNNNNNNNNNNNNNNNNNNNNNNNNNNNNNNNNNNNNNNNNNNNNNNNNNNNNNNNNNNNNNNNNNNNNNNNNNNNNNNNNNNNNNNNNNNNNNNNNNNNNNNNNNNNNNNNNNNNNNNNNNNNNNNNNNNNNNNNNNNNNNNNNNNNNNNNNNNNNNNNNNNNNNNNNNNNNNNNNNNNNNNNNNNNNNNNNNNNNNNNNNNNNNNNNNNNNNNNNNNNNNNNNNNNNNNNNNNNNNNNNNNNNNNNNNNNNNNNNNNNNNNNNNNNNNNNNNNNNNNNNNNNNNNNNNNNNNNNNNNNNNNNNNNNNNNNNNNNNNNNNNNNNNNNNNNNNNNNNNNNNNNNNNNNNNNNNNNNNNNNNNUAUAUAUAUAUAUAUAUAUAUAUAUCUCCAUCAAAAGCAUUUUGUUAGUUAAUAGUAUUGAUGAUAUCCCCUUCAGUGAUGAUCAAUCCUAGUAUAUGACAUGUAUUUUCAAAUGUUGGUUUGUUUGUAAUUUUCACAAAGAUAGGAACUAGUGAUGCAAAAUAUCCUGUUGAAUUUAUUACCUCCUUGUCUUUCAUUGUAGGGGAAUUUUGAUCCGAACGUUGGCCAAUGCUUCACAUAAAGAGCACACUAUAUCUGUCGUGCAAAUUGUCCUCAAUGUUGUUGGCUUGUGCAUAACUGUAGCUACGGUAUAUUUUAUCACAGUCUAUGCUAAGAGGCGGCUCAAAGAGUUACAGAAAGGGGGUGAGCUGCUAUUGCAAUAAUCCUGUAGUUUUAGUCUGGGUUCAUUGCUGACUGCAUGAGGCUGCUUCCAAUAACUCUCAUAUUGCCAUAUAUUGAUGAACACGACAUAGCUGAGUGUGGUCUUCUAAGUAAGUAACCUCAUCUCUGGGAGGGUUGACUGUCAAAUGUUUUAAAGGGUGGUAAUGGAACAUGCUAACACCACUGAAAUCCGCAUUUUAUUUAUUUAUUUCAGUUUGUUGUCUACAGAAGUUGUGUUUCUUUUUUUGUGCUUUGAUAUCAUUUGAAUUUGUAUAUGAAGUAAAAGCAAAAUUAAUGCAGUACAGAUUUCAAAUUAUUUCUUUUAAUAUGGACAGGAGGUAGUAUAUACAGAAAACAUGAUUGUAUAAUUGGGGGGAGAAGCGCAUCUUUGGAAACUUGUUCAUCACGAUGAAGUCAAAUCUUUGAUGGACAGAAGCAGCUUCUCUUAACUUUGGCUUCUGCCCACCACAAUUUUAGAUUCACUGUUGUUUUCGAACGAGUUUCCUUUCUUUCUAGUAAAAUUGCUUUGAUCUUUUCCCCUUAAUGAUACCUUGUCACUUGUAUCAAUGUUUGAAGAUUUAUACAUGUGCGAGCUUGUCAUGAUAGUUGUAAUGAAUAUGGUAAAAAUAUCCAGGCCAUUCAUUCAAGGGGGAUUUACUUUGCCAACUAAGGCAUAGAUUGGAACAUUAAAAUAUAUACGUCACUUCCUGUAUAACCUAAUUUACUGGAGAAUGAAAGAUCAUGAUCAUGUUCUACAGUAAAUAAUACUACUUACUAUCUUACUUAAGUCAGUUGAACCAAAUUUAACCAUUAAAAUUGGAAAUAGAAAUAUAAAAUAAUCACUGAAUUCACUUUGAUCAUUAUGUUUAGUUCCACUCUCUUGGUGUCUUAAAAUUUUCCAUGUAGUAUAAGAUAUGUGAUACACUUUGUAUUGUUGCAGAGGGAGCACAUAUUGUUGUCCUCUGUCUCAGAUCAGCGUCUCACAGCUCAGCAGAGAAUUUAGUGUUUUGUUCUGCUUAACCUUUCUAUCGUUGUAUUCCCCGUUACUUAAGCCAAUGUCUUGAACAAUUGUCUCUAUGUAAUGAACACUCUCAUUCAUAAUGACAUGAGCACACAGGUACAUAUUCGAUUUCAAUGCCACUACAAAUGAACUGGGUCAGUUUGGCCCCUUAUUUGUUUUCUUUUUUGGGGACAUUGGUCAAGAAUAUAGGUGUACACUUUUGCUGGAGGUAGGGUCUACCAGGGUCCAGGAAGCUUAUCUUGCCGUAACAUUGCCAUAACAUUAAUCAUUAUAGAGCACUUGAUUAAAUGAGAUUAGAUGAGAUUAGCUUCGCUAAUCACUUGAUUUGUAUAAUCUUGAACUUAAGAUCAGAGGGCAAAAACAAAAGGGAGUAGGGACCACUAGUGUGUAAUAUUAAUAUGCCAGCCAUGACUUAUUAUUAGUAGUUAGAUGGGGGUCCGUUAGAUGGAAUAGAAGAACACAUUAAAUGAAAGCAUUUCCAAACACGGCAGUGGAUGAAACCGUGGCAAAAGGGGAAACCUUUUGAAGGACUGCGUUUAUUUAUUCAGUCACAUGCUCGUGUUGUACGUGUCAAUAUGUCAUUUGCAAAAGUUGUUCUUUUUUUAUAGCAAAAGUUGUUCUUUUUAAUCGUUGAUCAAGUAGAAACAGAAGAGAAGAAGAGAUUCUGAUCCCUCUUUACUAGUCAAAUGCAAGAGGACAAAAUUGAAUAAAUGGAGGAGGUAACGUUAAAGAGAGAAUGACUUCUUACUUCUUAGACGAAUAAUGUUAUCUUCACAAGAGAGAGAAAGUGUGAAAUGUGAUAGAUGAUAAGAGGAGAGAGAUGGAAAUAAAAAGAGGUGGAAAUGAAGUGUUUAAGAAAUAAGGUGUGUAUAUAUCAUUAUUGCUUCUUAGACAACUGAAAAACCAAAAGUGAACAAAAAAACGUUGAGGAGAAAUUGAAGAGUAAUGAUACAUACACACCUCAGUUUCUCUUCCAUCUUAUUUCCAUCUAUUUCUCUUCCUAUUUCUCUCUGCAUUUUCUGUCACAUCGCAAAUCAUAUCAUUCAUUUCUCUCUCAUUUAUACCUAAUCUCACAAAGUGGAAGUGGAAUUAGUAUGUCAAUUAAACAUUAUUCGAAAUUGAAUGGCCAGGCAAUCCGCAAUGAAGUUCGCAAUAUUGCUCCUAUUCCUUUUGUUCAUAAUUUGGGCAAAUACUUGGGCUUUCCGCUGCAUGGUGGACGGAGAGACAGAAAUGCUUUCCAAUACCUUCUGGAUAAUAUCCAAAGGAAAUUGGCUUCUUGGAAAACUAACAUGUUGAAUUUUGCAGGUAGAGUUUGUUUGGCGAAGUCAGUUCUAGCUGCUAUCCCAACUUAUUCCAUGCAAGUUUUCUGGCUUCCUAGAUGGCUUAAUGAAAGAAUAAACCAGCUUGUUAGAAAUUUUAUUUGGUCCCGUCAUGGUGGUAAUCGCGGCUGGCAUUUGGUGAAUUGGGACACCCUAACCAGAGAUAAAGAUUGUGGUGGUCUUGGGGAGAGACGUCGCUGUGGUACAAGGAUUGGAGCGGUACAGGUCCAAUUGCUCAUCAAUUGCCCUUCGUAAAUAUCGCUGAUGUUCAUUUGCAGUUGAAGGAUAUUAUCCAGGGUAAUGUUUGGGAUCUCAAUCGUUUAUACACUAUGAUCCCGCUCUCAGUGCAGCAGAAACUCACAGACUUACAGCCUACUGUCUGUGCGGCGAGGAGUGAUGGGUGGGUGUGGAAUGUUGGUAAUAAGGGUCAGUACACGGUUCGGGAUGGUUAUGCGUGGCUCAAUGGUUGUGCUCAUGACCAGCAGGGAGAUCGUAAGAUUGACUGGGUUUGGAAGCUUAAAGUGCCUGAUUUUAUCAAAAAAAUUAGAUNNNNNNCGAAGUGGCUGGGCGUCGGCUCUCUCAGGAUCACGAUGAUUGGAUUCGUAGCAGCCAAGAGGUUGAUCUUUUGCUGUGUAACGCAUGGUCUCCUCCUCCAACCAACAUGGUGAAGUGCAAUUCUGAUGGGAGUUUCUGUGAUAGUAAUCAGCGGAUUGGUGGCGGUGGAAUUAUCAGGGAUCACCUUGGCCGUUGGGUGGUGGGCUGCUACUCCGGGGAGGCUGGAGAUAGUGCGUUCAGAGCAGAAGCCGUGGCGAUGCGAGAUGUUCUCCAGUUAGCCUGGGAGAAGGGGUUUAGGCGAGUGAUCUGUGAUGUUGAUUGUGCAGAGCUGGCCUCCAUAAUAACAGAUGAAGCAGCUUCUCAAAGACAUGCAGAGUUUCUUGUGCUUGGUUCUAUUCGUCAGCUUCUAGCACGAGAGUGGAACGUCAGGAUCAAUUGUGUGCAUCGAGAGAGCAAUAUUGUAGCAGACUACCUUGCCAGGAGAGGUGCAGCAGCAAGAUCUUCUGGGGCUUGGGUCAUUGAGUCUCCUGACCCGGAUGUUGAGUACCUUCUCUUGAAGGACUCGUUGUCCAUUCUUUAGUUAGUUUUCUUUGUCUUUGUUAAUUUUCCGAUGUAUAAAAAAAAAUAAACCUGAACAUAUAUAAUUAACCAUAAGUGUUUUGUUAGGAUUAAUUUUAGUGUUUUGUUAGCGUUAAUUUCAAUUUACACUUGUUGGGAGAAAUUAUUAGCAUGGUGGUUGAUUCACCUCUAUAAUUUGUUGUUUGAUUCAUCACUAACUUUCAUGUUGCAUUAAUUUAAUAAUAUUUUAAUAGAGAUUCAAUUCAUCUAUCGAAUCCAAAUAUCAUCCGUUUAAUUUGGUUCAAUUCGGAUCCAAAGGUGAAAAAUGUGGAAUACAAAACCAACCCAAAUACUUUUAAUUGAUUUGGUUAUGUUUUGAUCAGGAACCGAUCCAAACUAAUCAUAUGCACUCCCGGCAGUGAUUUUAGAGCCUAACCCACCCAAAUUCUUAUAUUAAGAAAGAUAUUUGGAAAAAAAAUAUCAGGUUUUAGUUUUGGGUCUUUCGGUCCAAGACUCUACUCAUGAAACAUCCUCAUAUUUCCGCAUAUAGUAGAUUGCUUUUUUUUUGGCCUUGUGCUAGUGGAUUGUUGACUCCGCAGUAGACUUCAAUAGUUAAUUUUUAUUUUCUUCUUAAUUUUACAAUAAAUGUUUUACAACUGUAAUGAUGAUAACUGAUAAGGGAGAGAGACAUUAUAUAAUUAUGCGGAAGGAAACGCAGGAAAAUUCAGUCGACAGUGACUUACCAUAAGAUGCAUACCUCAUCAGAUGGAACGGGAGAAAUAGGAGGAAAACAAAAGCAAGUGAAAGAUGUGAUAAUUUAGACAGAAAGGGAAAAUAAAUAGAGCUAAAAAAGAGAGAUUUAAUACUGGGCCGGGCCUGAAGUUAAGUUGUAUAGUAAUGGGUAAAUAUGCUGAAGCCCACCUAGUAUUUGGAAAAAGAAAAAAAAAGGAGCAUACUUUUUAGACCCUAAAUAAUAAGGGAUGGACUAUCAAUGGAAAAGCUUAUUGACAAAAAAAAAGGAUGAAGGGACUACUAUUUUUUUUUUCAUCUCAUUUUUUUUAUCUCUCUUAUUUUCCAAUCACAUCAUAUAUUCAUAUAUUAUAUAUAUCUCCUGCUCCUUUUUCAUUUCUUUAUUUCUCUAUUAGGUGAAGAUGGUAUAUAUUGGUGGUGUGAAAACAAAUUAAACUUAUCAUUAUAUAUGAAUUAUCAGGUGAUGAAGGCAUGGUGCAUGUUGCAUAGAUUUACUCUCUCUUUGUUUUUUUUUUUGGUUAAAUCUGUUCCUUCUACCAUUUUCUAUCAGACCAUUAUCAUUAAGAUAGUCAGCUAGCUAGGAGUUAUAACUAGUUUUAUAUAUUGCUAUUUACUUAAGCAGGGGCAUAUGUCGCGCGUAGGUAGGGUAGCAGGGGUGGAGGCAUAAACUUCAUUUUGGGGAUCGGACCAAGAUUAAACACUACAUGACUUAUAAAAAAAUCUAAAUUUUCACAUACUCAAAUUUUUUAAGCAUCUUUUUAGACACUAAAUAAAAAGAACUAUGUAGUUCCAUCCCUAAUUGAGGCCAUGUUGGUUUAAUUAAUUUGACGCCUAAAAUAUUAAAGAAUGUAGAAAAUAAAAGACGUGUUGUUGCUUAUUGCUUUCACGGAAAUUUAUUAUAAUCUCACAAAGUCCUUUAGAAUAGACACAUACUAGUACUACAGUGUGGAAAAUGGAAACGUGAUCGAUGGUGUGGAAAAUGGAAAAGUUCAGUGUUACUAAUCUUUGCGGUCACUCUGAUGCGUAAGGUGGUGAAAAUUGAAAAGUCUAGUGUUACUAUUCUUAAUUUGCAGACCGCAGUACACGCAAAUAUUUGAAGUGUAUAUGUACGGGGUUGCUUUAGUGCUCCUCACUUCCUUAACAUCACUGGGCCGGGUCCAUUUUGUGGACAUGUAUAUCUUGCUAUAUUGAUGUGUUGUUUGCUUUACCGGCGGGAUACCAUAAUGCAAUCUUGUAUAUAUCUUAAAGAGGAGCUGAGUUAGAAACGGGCAGGAUAAGAUAACAAAUUCACUUUUACUUUAAAAAAAUGACAUAGUGCAUGGGAGUUAUCAAUCACUAUAACAUAAGAGUCAUUUGGUUUUAGUCCCUCUAUUACUUACGUUAGUAUUUUUAAUUAUCAGAUCUUAAUGGCAGCUCUGACCAAAGUCAUACUAUUACUUUGAAUAUAAGGGCUAUAACAAAAAAAAAUGGAACCAAAAUCGUAAGAGCUCCAAAAAAAAAUUCUGAAAAGAAAAAAAAAUCAGGCUUAUUUUGGGUCUUUCGAUCCAAGACUCUACUCUUGAAAUAUAUGCAUAUUUCCGCAUAUAGUGAGUGGAUUGAUGACUACGCAGUAGACUUAGUUAAUUUUUCUUCUUAAUUUUUAAUUAGAUGAUUUCAACUGUAAUGAUGGUAACUGAUAAGUGAUAGGCAUUACCCAGAAGGAACGCAAAGAAAAUUAGCCAACAGUGAUUUACUACAAUUACGGGGCAACUCAGUCAGGUUUGAACGUUUGCUUGAUUACACAACUAGUCAAUCAAUUACCAACAAUAUUCUCAUAUUUUUGGCGAAUAAGUGAUACUCAAAAAUUAUUUUGAGUGUGACACUCGCAUUAAGUAGGUUGAUAAAUUAUUGUCAUAUACGAUAAGAUUUUAGUCGUUGAGAUUUAUUGACAGUAGAGAAAGCGAUAUUGUAGCCAGCAAAUGAUGAAAAUGAUAGUGCAAGUUUCGACGCCUUUAAGUUAGAACAAAAUUUUGGUGAUACAAAGGAGAAGAAUAAUUGUGAACUGUCUGAAUGAUACUUUGAAAAAAAAAUUAUAAAAACAUUAACAUUUUAGAUUUAUAAUUAAUACACAUGUAUAAAUGUUGACUCGACCAAAGCACGUGUGUUUAUCAAUACACAUCAUUUUAAGUAAUGAUGGAUCCACGUGAAACACUAUGGGGGAAAAUGCCCCCACCGUUUAUUUUGGAAAAAAAGUUUCACAAGAGUAAUAAACUAGCAAAAGAUUAAAUUAUGCCCCCAACACUAAUAGUUUACCAAUAGUAUGCCCCCACGUAAAAGUUUUUUUUAUGUACUGCAUUGACUGCCCCCAUAGUAUUAGUAUCGGUGUGUGGGUUAAUGUUUAAUGAUAUAUACACACCUCAUUUUUAAAACACUUCAUUUCCACCUCUUUUUGUUUCUAUCUCUCUCCUCUUACCAUCUAUCACAUCUCAUACUUUCUCUCCCUUACUUUUUCUUUUCUUCCUAUCUCUCUCAUCAUUCCACCUCACACACCUCAAAAGAGAGGUGUGUGAGUAACAUUACUCGUGGGAUAAUGGAUAAUGGAUAAUUUUUGAGGAGUACAAACUAUACUCUUUUUUAUAGUAUUAAUGUAUUUUUAGUGCUAUAAAUUUAUAUGUAUAAUUUUCAAAAAAAAAUUAUAUAUAUAAGUUGCCCCCACAACUUAAAGUUCAUGAAUCCGUCACUGAUUUUAAGUACCACACUUUGAUCGGACUUACGGUACUACAACAAAUUAAACAUUAUUAUUGAUAAAGAAGAGAAAACAAUACUUCAUGAGAUGUAGACAAAAGCAUGUGAAAGAUGUAGCACAACUAGUAGAUAUUGAACUUCUUAAGUAUUUAGUUAAGGGUUUGAUCCAUGGACCGUGUAUAUGAAGAUGCAUUUAUUGAUAGAUGCUUACUCACUUCAAACAUUUGUUGGUACUUAGGAGAUGCGUACCUUGAGGACCAAAUCCAGGAGAAAAAAAAGAGAGAGAAUUGAUAGUUGCAUAGUAAUGGUUAAAUGUGCUACAACCUACCCAUAUUUGGAAAAAGAAAAAAAUAAAUGAUCUAUAAUCUACUCAUAUUCCUAAUCAUUUGCCUUAGAAAUAGGUGAUUUGCCGGUUAAUAGAAGCCUUGUCCAGUUUCCUUCCGUUCCGCUUUGUUCAGCCACUUUUCCUUAGGGACCACGGUCUCCAAUCCUCCUUCAAUCCAAAUCCAAGAUGCCUCAGGGAACUCUUGAAGUUCUUCUAAUCAGUGCCAAGGGCCUUGAGAAUACUGAUUAUCUUUGUAAGAAAUAAUUUAUUUAUUCACACAGAACAAACAUACUUUCUUCUUGUUAAUUGUUUCCUAUUAUUUGGCUUUAUGGGGCAGGUAACAUGGACCCUUAUGUGAUCCUAACAUGCCGCACUCAGCAGCAACAAAGCAGUAUUGCAUCAGGUGCGUAAAAUCGAUUAUAUGUCAGAAUUGAUUAUGAGAAAAGAAAAACCGAUCCAAACAUGUUGUAAUUCUGAGCAUUUCCAAUUAGCUCUUGUCAAUUUUACACGGAUGAUCAAAUCAUGAUCAUACAUAAUUCAUAUUAAUUCCUGGCCUAGGAUUUUGUAUCAAACACGUUAAGUCAUACAUUCAUUUCUUGUCCAAUCAUUUAGAUGAGUUGUGAAUGAAUGCAGGUAAAGGAAGUGAUCCAGAGUGGAAUGAGAGUUUUGUAUUCAACCUGUCUCAUGGCGUUUCUGAACUCAAAUUGAAGAUCAUGGACAGUGAUACCGGAACCGGUCAUGAUUUCGUAGGAGAAGCUACGUGAGUUCCUCAUUCUCCAUUUCCAUUCAUAAUUUUUUUUCUUCAUAUAUCAUAGUUUUUAGGUGAAUUAAUCUUAGCAGCAUCAGCAUCUUAAUUUUUGGGGUUGACAAUAUUAGUUUUUGUUAAAAAUGCUAUAUUAUUCAUUCUCAUUCGAAAUUAUGAGCAAUUAGUUGUAACAAAAAUACAAAAGAAAAAUUUUAGUUUAUGAUACAGUUAAUUUUUACAGCAUUCCAUUGGAUGCAUUGUUUACUGACGGGAACAUCCCAGCCAUGUCCUACAAUGUCGUCAAGGAUGAACACUACUGUGGAGAAAUUAGAAUUGGCCUCACUUUUACGCCUGAGGUAUUAUUGCGUUUUUCUUAUUUUUUUGUCACCAUUUAUUAAUUAAUAUAUAUAUAUAUAUAGACAUUUAGACAAAUCAUGGUAUUUUGGUUAUUCAUCUUCAUCGUGUGGAAGUUCUUUACCUGCAUAAUGUGUAACAUAUACAUACUUGAUUCAUUAUAUUUCAAUAUGAACACAUUCCACCUCCUUGAAGACAAGUAGUGAGAUCCUUCAAUGUGUAUAACCUGAGGUUGUGUUUCUUAUGCAGGCUCGCGACGAGCGGCAAGAGCGAAGUUUCGGUGGGUGGAAGGAGUCUGGUUACUGAAAAGUGUGUUUGAAUACAAAUUGAGUGUAACGUUAAAAUACUUUCAUCUCAAUUCAGUUGAGUGUCCGUUUGUAAUAGUAUCAAUGGAUAUCCAAGCAUAGAGUCAUAAUUAUUAGUUUCUUUAAUAUAAGUGCUAUUACUUUACGGGAACCUUGAUAAUGUAACUUGGCUUCAUGGAUCUUCUCUGUUGACUGAGUCAUUAUUUUAUUCAAAGCGCAAAACAUACAGAUUCUAAGAAAACCUGCGAUAUAUUUCAUGCUGGGAAUAGUAGCUAGGAAACAAACAAAUGAGCGGAGAAAGAGCAAAUGCUAAAAUUAUUGAAAUGAGAAAAAGGCAAAUUAAAUCAGGUUCCCUCUCCUUCAAGUUAUCUUUAUGUCAAAUUUGAAGUAGCAAAUAUCAUGAGAAGCAUCUUCAUUAGAUGUGAUUUGCUUAUUAAUCCCCUUUGAAGUGUCCUUCCACAUAUGUUUUACCGGAAAAUCCUUGAUUUUGCUUUUAUUCCUUACAUGCUGAGCAUAGAAUUUGCAUUUGACUUGUGUGGUAAGCAAGUGUGUUUCUACACAAAAAGCUUAAUGUGCAAUACAACCUGGAGAGCAGGAUCCCAUGGCUCGUGGGUAAAAAAUACUGGGGUUGGAUGGAGCAUGAGCCUUUGGCUUGGCAAAUAUAUAGUAGAAUCAGAAUCAUUCUUCUAGCAUAACGCAAUUAUAUAAUAGUAGUCCUAAUUCCUAACAAAUUAUUUAAAUCAGUUGAUAAGCACUCAACUUCUUGAAAUCACUUUGGUCGAAAGCUUAUGGCUUGUAUAGCAUUUUCUAGAGGAAAUUAACAGCACUCGAACCAAAUAAUAACAAAUUGACAAAAAAAAAAGAACCAAAUAAUAACAAAGGAUACAAAUUACUUAGUUAGAGAGCGAAGUAAAGGAGAGCAUUGUUAAAACAGCUGUUGAACUCCUUAACAUCCUUUCCUUGCUAACCUAGAGAUCUUCCCAACAGACAACACAAAACACCAUGGCUGGCCUUAUGUUCAGAAUGUAUUCACAGAUGUCACCAAGGAAACAAAAGGAUGCUUAAUGACGAUGAUUAAGAUUUCUUAGUCUACAAAAAAAUACAUAUUCUAACAGUAGUUAUCCUGGGGCUAGCAACAAAUGCUUCAAUUUACCUACUUUGAAAAUUCUUAUUGUACUGAGGAUGGUAUUUUUGAGGAACAAAUCCAGGAGGGUAUUUUUGAGGAUCAAAUCCAGGAGGGUAUUUUUGAGGACCAAAUCCAGGAGGAUAACCUUGCUGGCUAGCGUUUUCCGUGGAUGGGAAUGAAGAGCUCAUUGAUGACGAUUGCUGCCCUGGCAUGGACUUCAUUCCUAUAUCAUACUGAAAUGAGAUGUCACUUUGCGAAAAGCUGGAAAAUCCAAAAUCUGGUAAAGUUAAACCGUCAUCUCUUUUCUCAUUCCUGCUGGCAGGUUGCUGGAUACAUCCUUGAGUUGCUACAUUUUCCUCUACUGGAAUCUCACCUGUAAGUGUCUUAUAUGCAAAUUCUAGACAUGGGUCUUCUGACCAAGAAUUCAUAAAUGAAGCACAAAACUCAAAUUCAGUAUUAUCCUGGUUUAGGUCAAAUGUUUCAGUUUGUGGAGGUGGUCUCGCUGCUGUACCAAAUUCACCCUCAACAACCUGACCAUUCUUCUGUAAUGGUUCUCCAUGUACUUGUGUGUGUAUACUUCCCCUGGGAUGAUGCACAGGUUGUUUCCCAUUUCCAGCUUCAAAGUGCAGGGGUUCCCCAUUCCAACCCCUUAUCAUGUUGGCUUCAUCAUUAUGAGAUUCUCCAGAUGUAAAUUUAGGAGCAUUUGCAUAAGAUGUGAAACUGGUCCUUAACUCUGGUUGCCCAUGGAAUGGUUUUGGAGGCUGGCCAUCCAUAUUAACAUCUUUCUUGUUCCGGCAUUGAUUUGUGUUGUUGUGAGCUUCUCCAUUGACGCCCAUCACCAUUCUCCCAUGCAAUUCCUUAUUUGGCGGCUCAUAAACAGCAGGAGUCAUAACAGGCAAGAUGUCUGUAGCAGAAUCAACUGGUGAAGCGCCAGAGAGAGUUUUGAAUGCAAAAUCUAGGCAUGGCUCAGGCCCAGAGUCCCCAAAUGGUAAGGAGCCCUGUGGCUCUGAUCUCUGAUCACCAAUAUUUUCAGCUACAGCUUGCUGCAGUUGUUUCUUGCGAACAGUUUGGGCAUUGUAUGACUUCUCACUCUUGUUUGAUGAUUCUGCAAGGACUUCUGUUUCCAAACUGUCAGAUGUAUUCAUAUGCUUGGUUUUCCCCCCAGCAUCAAGAUGGCCAGAAUUAGAGGCUCUGUCAGUUAAAAUUGGAGUUGCAGUAGCAGUUGGUUCUUUGCGUGAUUUUUUGGUUGAAUAUUCAAGAGCUCUUUCAGAAGGCGGAACAUCGGGUUCAACACCAGCAAGUCGCUUUGACAACCGCAUGGGCACUUUGACCUCUUUCUUUCUCUUGGAUUUAUUUGAAUGUACUUGUGGGCUUCUGUCCCUGCUUCCUGUACCUUUGUCAAGAGAAUUGUUUUGAUUGUCCUGGCUUCUUGCUGUAACAUUGUCAAACAAUGUUUUAUUAAUAUCAGUUUCAGAGAUGGUUGUGGGUCCAUUAUCAACUGAAUUGUUUUGAUUGUUCCUGCUUCUUCCUGUAACAUUGCCAGACACUUCGUUUUGAAUAUCAGUUGCAGGGACUGUAGUGGGACCUUUAUCAACUGAAUUGUUUUCAUUGUCCUUGCUUCUUGCUGUAACGUUGUCAAACAAAGUUUUUUGAAUAUCAGUUUCAGGGACUGUGGUCAGUCCAUUAACAACUGAACUCUCAGCAGGUGGUAACGCACCUGUGAGGGUAUUGAUUGCGAAUUCCACACUUGGGUCAGACCAUGAGUAGUGGAAUGCAAAGGACAGCUGAGGUUCUGAUUUCUCAUCUUCCAUUUCUCCAUCUUCAUGUUUCUCCAGUUGAUUGUCUGCAGUAGGUGGGAUUUUGGGAGAUUCUAUUCUUCUACUUCCAGACUCUCCAUUUAUUGGUGCAUGAUCUACAAGCUCUGUAACUGGCCUGCCCUCACUUUGCUUCAAUCCAGCUAGUCGGUUUGACGCUCGACGAGGAACGCAGUGCGCUUUGUUCUUUCUUGAUUUGUUUGAGUUAGCUCGAAUUCCUGGCUUAUUUUCUUCUGUAUUAUCUCUUUCCAGCUGAUGUUGUUCUUUGGAAACUACUUGGUCUGCAGAAAGAUCGGUGCCUGUGUUCACUGCCACUUGCUGCAUUUUAUCUGGGAUACCGUUGAAAUGCUGGGAUGAUUUACUUCCCAUAUCGACAUCUUGAGUGGAUCUACUAUUCCUCAAGCUUCUUUUUGGAACUUGAAGAGUCUGCUCAUUGAUCACAUUGUUGGCCAUCUGGACAGGUACAGCCCCAGCAAGUCUUGGUGAAGAACGAUGACGCACAUUGAACUCCUUGUUUUUGGAUGUUCUGUGGUUGUUGUGAUUCUUAUCAUUAGUAUUCUCCAUCAUAUUUAGAACGUGCUCCUUCUCAUGCACACCAUCUGCACAAUUUUCCGAUUUUUUCAUUGAUUCAUAUUUCAAAACAGCUGAGCUACCUGGGUCAGGUAUUUCAGGACGGUUUGCAGCUCCAUCCUCUGGUGAAUGCACCUUUACAACAGACUCGCACUUGUUUUCAUUGAUUCCAGAUGGUACAUCCCUAUCUUGCCCUUUCCUCGAGUUGCUAACAUCUGCCGAUUCUAAGCUGCUUUUAUCAACUAGUUUUUUGGCUGCAGUAGAAAGUUUGAAUUACAUACAAAUGGACAUUAGGUAUAAAUGACAUAUGCUUCAUUCCUCGGAGUUGGAUAAAUAAUUGAUCAAACAAUCCUAAAUAUAUUUGAUUUAUGGUUUCUUACCAACAAAAAGCUGUUGCUUAGAUGCAGACUGCUUCAGAUUCUGUCUCUUACCAGCACGCGAAGGCUAGAUGAAACAAAACCAUAAUUAGAAUUACAGACAAUUUGAAUUCUCAUUUUCAAAAAAAAAAAUUGAUGGGAAGAAAUUCUUGCGUGCUUGGAUUUUGGACAAUUAAUGCCAAUGAAAAUCUUUAAAGGACAUUAUGCAAGUACCAAGUAGACAAAUCUAAAUAAACAAUCAUUAUCAGCUAAUACUGAAGACGCAUAGUAGUCAUUAAAAAAAAGAUUCUUAACAUGAUUGAAAUUUUGCCAAGCCUCAAGUCUGACAUGAUUGAAGAAUCCCUAGAUUCUUUUAAUCUUUUAAACAGUUUGUAGUUUGAACUAAUAAGAAAAGAGAAUAACCAACAAAAGCAACAAUAGUAAGAUAACACUUAUAUGCAAGAAAGUCUUACAGUUAAGUUGUCUUCAUUUUGGAUUUGACUUCUGUGUGGUUUAAAUACACAUGAACCUAUAUCUCCAGAUUCAAGAUAUCGCAGUACAUCCUUCUUGGAACGGAAUACAUAUCCACUCACUGGAUCUUUAUAAUACUGUUGGAAGAGUAACCGAAUCAUAAUUUGUUUAAGCACUAUACACUUUAGAAAACUGUAAAUAUUACAAGAUAAACCACACUGGAGAUCAUUUGCUACCCACCUCUUCGAAUGUGAAAAGACAACAACAAAAAAGUAGAGCACUUGAUUUGAAGGGGGAAAAAGAAUGUAAUAACAUAGAUAUGCAUCCUUCUUUUAUGACUUAAAAAAGAGCUUGUUUUGGCAAGAGGAGAGAAAACAAAGUGAUAACUCAAAAACAUCAAAUGAUAUUUCAUACCAGAUCCUUCUUAGUGUUGUUGCGGCUCUUCCUAAUCUUUACUUCUUUAAUCCAUCCAGGUGGUAAAUCCUCCACAGUGGACUUAUCAACCACAACCUAAAACAAAAAAAAUUAAAUAUUUUAAUUUUUUUUUUACAAAGAUAACUUAUACCUCCUAAUAAUAUUUACUGAGCUAAAUAGAGGUUCAUCCAAUGAUGAAUACUAUGAAACAUAUCAUAUCUUAUCUUAUUUGUAAACAUUUUGCUCCUCUUCGUCAUAAAAUAGGCAUACAUUAAAUGGCACCAGAGCACACAAUCCAAGUAGAAAAAAAUAGCAACAUAUAAAAACUUGCUUGAGUGACAAUGGCAAGCUAAAAAUAAGUGCAAUCCAUAGUCCAACAAAAGAAACAUGAGCCAAAUUGGUAUAAACAAUAUGAAUAGACACAAGCACCAAAACGUGGGGCCAUAAGCUGAGGCAGCCUUCUCAUUUUCUGAACUGCACAUUCUUUGUGGGGGUUGCAUUUUUUUUCAUUGUAUAAUUCUAUGAGGUCAAUUUUCAUGUCAAAAUCCUAUAUACAUAACAUCUAUAACGAACUCCUACCAAUAACCAUUAAAUUCUAGUUGAUUUUAGCCUCAUACAUGAUCAUUUCUAAUUGUGAGGCCUAAGAAGUAAGAAGCACCGACACCUCUGAACAACGAAGUGUCCGGGUGUUGGACACUAGUCUAACACCUAUCAGACAUGUGUUGGACACCUUUCUUUUUGCAGUGUCAGAUUAUAAAAGUUAAUCUUACAUAAGACAAUCAUUGAACCACCACGACUUAGACACUGCUCAAAAGACUGAAUUGACACCUCUUCUUGGCCAGACACCUCUAGGACAUUGAUUUAGACACCUCUAGAACACUGAUUUAGUUUAAAAAAUAAAAAAUUAUUUAUUAAAAAGUAAACUUAUUUGCAUAUUUUAAAUUCUAAAAAACCAUUUAAAAGUCAAACCCGUAAAAUAUCUUUCUGAAUCUCUUAAGUUGUAUUCAUCUUCUUGUCUUCAAAUUUCUUUGUAAAUAGACAAAGUGUGCAUUAUGAAAUGAUAUGUCUCAGUAUUUUUUUCAAGCUCAUCAUCUUAAGAAAAUUGCAAAUCUUCAAUUCUCUUGACUUUGAGAAGGUGAAUAUAAAUAUAAAUCUUAGUUCUCAAUUAGAUUAGUCAUAUUGAUCAUAUUUCUUUUUUAGUAUAGAAUUAUGUGGUGUCCUUGUGUCCUAUUUCAUGAUAUUGGUCGUGUCACAAUGUCCGCGUUGUGUAGCGUCUAGUGUUAGUGUCGGAAUCAGUGCUUCAUAGAUUAUGACAACCAUCAAUCAUGCAUGUCAUUGGACAAUGUAAUGGAUGAUGACAAGAAAGGAUUGGCAAACAGAAACUAAAAGCAAAUUAGAGAUAUAAGAGAGUAGAGAUACAAACGUUGCUUGGAGAAGGCAUAUUAGUGCACUUCUUCUCCUUCUUGGGAGUGCAGGUGCUAUCCUUUGUAGUUAUGUUGUCAAUGAUCUGUCAAUUUAACGAUAAAAUUCAUUAAUAACAAACAGAAAAUAAAAGCAAAUUAUAGAUAUAAUAGACUAGAGAUACAAACGUUGCUUGGAGAAGGCAUAUUAGUGCACUUCUUCUCCUUCUUGGGAGUGCAGGUGCUAUCCUUUGUAGUUAUGUUGUCAAUGAUCUGUCAAUUUAACGAUAAAAUUCAUUAAUAACAAUCAGAAAAUAAAAGCAAAUUAGAGAUACAAGAGAUAGAGAUACAAACAUUGCUUGGAGAAGGUAUAUUAGUGCAUUUCUUCUCCUUCUUGGGAGUGCAGGUGCUGUCCUUUGUAGUUAUGUUGUCAAGGAUCUGCCAGUUGAUGAUAAAAUUCAUUAAUAACAAUCAGAAAAUAAAAGCAAAUUAGAGAUACAAGAGAUAGAGAUACAAACAUUGCUUGGAGAAGGUAUAUUAGUGCAUUUCUUCUCCUUCUUGGGAGUGCAGGUGCUGUCCUUUGUAGUUAUGUUGUCAAGGAUCUGCCAGUUGAUGAUAAAAUUCAUUAAUAACAAACAGAAAGUAAAAGCAAAUUAAAGAUAUAAGAGAGAAAGAGAUACAAACUUUGCUUGGAGAGGGCAUAUUAGUACACUUCUUCUCCUUCUUGGGAGUGCAGCUGCUGUCCUUUGAGGUUAUGUUGUCAAGGAUCUGUCAGAUUUGAUGAUAAAAUUCAUUAAUAACAAAGAGAAAAUAAAGGCAAAUUUGAGAUAUAAGAGAGAUAGAGAUACAAACGUUGCUUGGAGAAUGCAUAUUAGUGCGUUUCUUCCCCUUCUCGGGAGUGCAGUUGCUGUCCUUUACAGUUUCAAGGUGUCGCAAUACCUCAGGUUUGGAGAAGAAUUUGAGUCCUUUCAACGGAUCAAUAUAACACUGCAACAAGAAAGUAGUUUUGAAGUGAGUGAUAAGCUCCAUUUCUAAUGUUGUCAAAUACAUAAUAACAUAUUCAUCCCGAACUUUUAUGAGUAAUUUUUACUUUGCCCUUUUCAACAACAUUAACAUGUAAUUAAUUAUUGAAGACAAUAAGUGAAAAACAAAGAGCAAAGCUGUACUAUGUAAUUAAUGUGACUGAAACUAACAAUGGACCAAGAAAGCGAGAGAAAAUAAAAAUACCACCAAGGAGUACAGAAUCACUUGUUCACAUCAAUUGAUUAGUGAAGCUUUCUCUAUUGCAAAAUAAUUUGAAUAUGGUUAAAAGAUAUGUCCCAAAAUCUAGCUAACAAAUUUAAGACAACUGUUCACAGGCUAGACACAUGGGGAACACAAAACUAUAGUAGUAUGUUACAUGUGUUAAAAUCAUGAACGUAAUCAAGAAUCAGACUUUAGAUUUCCAAAACAAAAGUAUCUGCUACAGGCCAAUUGUACAGAAAAUUUAUUAACGAUUCAAGGCCAGAAAAGCAGAAAUUUGAGAACUGUGCAAGUAAUACAUUUAUAGUGUUGGCCAUAUAUUAGUGAAACGAGUUUUUCCCCUUCAUCCAUAUAAUGCCGCAAUUCGUGCUGCUUCAGCCACGACCGUGAGGCGCGACACUAAUUCAUCUCAAUAGCGGCAGGGAGUUGCUACCCCGCUAUGGCAUGCUAUUAAGGAAUAGUAUAACUUACUACAGGAAAAACUGAAACAAAAAGAAGGUGGAAUUUAAGGAAUAAUAUAACUUACUACAGGAAAAACUGAAACAAAAAGAAGGAAAAAACGCAGUUGCAUUAGUAAAUAACUUAUAAAGAGAGUCCAUCUACUACCUUAUACGAAGAUCCCAUUUGUGUACCACUUUUCCGAAUUCUGACUAGCACACUCCAGCCAUCAGGUAACCAAUCCGGCCGUUCAUUAGCAUUCUCUACAACCUGAAAUUAUCAUACAUCAACCAGGUGAAAAGUGAUUAAGGCUAAGGUGAGUAGGAGAAGAAAAUAUCCCAAGGAAUAAGCCUUUUCAAAGAUUAUACUCACUUCUUGUUGUUUAGAAUUGCAUUUUGUGUCACUGUUGAUCUGUCUACCGGUCUCUUCAGACUCUUUAACUUUAGGUUUUCCCAUUUAGUCGAGGCAGGUUGUGCCGUCAGAAGUCAAUAGCCAAAACAAAUUAGUGAAUGCAGUCAAAACUCAAAGCAUCUAUUCUCCUUUGCUUCCCCCAUUCUAAUCAUGCAUCCAGACUUGUUUCAUGGACGACGAGACUCCGCAAGCAACACACACAUCAAGAAACAUCACUUGCUCUCCAACAUAGACCAAGUUAAAUAUGAUUUUUCUCCCUCCAGUCUUACCCCACCUGAAACAUGAACGAAAAAUAUACUCUCAUUAGGUCAUUAUAAAGAAACAACUCACAAUAAGAUUUGACAUGGUACAAUCACAAGAGAGAAAUCUGAAAACAUUAAUUUCAUGGUUUUGUAAAACAGAUCUCAUCCAUCAUACUGAAGAUUAAUUUCCUUCUAUAAAUAAAUAAAAAAACACCACAAAUGUCUCCUAAAUAAGUAAAUAAUAAUAUCAUUCUGGAAAUAUACACAGCAGAGUGGAAUCUCACAAAAGAUUAAUCCCAAUUAUUUAGCUAUAUUUCCCACUAAUCAAUCUAUAUUUGGUAAUAAUAUACAAUUUUAUGUAUGAAUCAAAUUAGAAGAUAAAUCUGAACAGAUCAUCUAUCAUAUCCCGCUACCCUAAGAAAUCAUCAACAUAGACGACGAAAAUAAAACAAUAAUGAUAACAACAAGAAACGGGUACAAGUGAAGUAAAAUCAGGAGAUUAGGUUAUAGAUUAGACAAUAGUUACCAAAAUUAAGCGGGAGUUUCAUCGGAGUUAAGGAAUUGCAGGAUCUGAGGGUUGUUGGAACGACGGAGCUGAAGAUUGUUGGGGUUCGUGAGAGGGGAGAAGAGAGGUUAGCUGAGCUGAGGAGAGGAGAGAGUUGAAGGAUUUGGUUUUGAUGGAUGCUAUGCUGCUACUACUGCUAACUAGUACUCAAUGCUUUAUUAUUGUUUAUUAUUUUAUUAAUUAAUUAAUUAAUUUAUUUAUUUAUGCGAAUAUACGUAGUACUGUAGUUUUUAGUUUAAUAUAAAGUCCACGAAGGAAUGAGGGUAACGAACCACGUGUUGUAUUGAAUGGAGUGCAUGCUUUUUGUGUUUGGUUAAGGCCAAAAUGAAAAUAAAAUAAGAAAAUAAAGUUCAUGUGACCACUGACCAGAUCACACUGCGUUUGGUCAGUAAAUCGUUUCCUCACGCAUCUAUGUAUCUAUCUCUCUCGCGCAAGAGGCUUGGUUUCAAGUUUCAAAGUGAAUGAUUGCGGCUGCCAGAAUAAUGCUUCAUGUAAUAAGCAGCACUAGCUAGCAUUAUCUUUUUUUUUAUAUAUAUAAACUCCAUAAUUUGUUCCUGCGAAUUGUAGCGUUUGUGUUUAUGCAUGAUGAGUUUAGUCUAAUCAUGUACUUAAGGACCAUGAAGGGAAGUUCCUGAUUGGAUUCUCAGUUAAUCGUUCCAUCCUUUCAAGCUAAACUCUGGGCCUGCGGGAUUCUACAUGGGAUCAAUAAUGCUUUGUCUACUAGCUAAUAGUUAGCUUAUAUUGGAUAAAGGUUGUCUUAGGUCUAAUUCUAAUGCCCAUUUGGAUAGUGAACUCAAAGGCUUCUUCAAUCGUUUUUCUCAAGUGCAUUUGAAACAUAUCUUUACAGAAGCUAAUUCAAUUGUUGAUUUGUUUGGCAAAAUAGUUAUUAUCUCAUGAACUAGAGAGAGCUUCAUUUACACUAAGAGUAAUUUUGAAAAGCUACUCCACAUUCUCACCCUUGAUUGUAUUAAAAAUUUAAUGGUAGAGAUUAAUUUCUAAUGUUCAAUCACGUAAUUUUCUUUUCUCCUUGCCAGGAAAGAAGAAUUGAAAAAUAUGAAUGAUAAAUUGAUCGAUGUUGAAUCUCAGAAGGAAGACUUCAAACAAUUGCAAUCCGUAAAAGAAUCCAAUGGAAUACUUGACGAUGAUAUGACAAAUCAGAAAUUGAUAAAUUCAUAUCUUGAUGCACAAUUUACAGAAAGCCCAUUCCAUUCUCAUUGCCUUAAACCAAAGCUUCUUUCCUUUUCAAUAGCCCCAAUUUGCUAGUUGCAAAACCCUGAUUAAAUAAUUGAUACGUACAGGAAGGUAGAACAAGAUAAACAAAGUAAUUGUGAAUACCAUUGCUAUGUGAUUGGUGGCGAUGAUAAAGAAAGUAAUUGUGGAUCAAGGCUAUGAGAAUGAAGAGGGAUCCAUUUCACUGGUUGAGGAGAGGCAGAGAGUGAGGUGCUAGAAGCUUUAAAAAAAGUCAGUACAAAGAUUAAAAUGAGGAUCACGUGACAAGUGAUUAUCAAUUAAUCUCAUCCAUUCAUUUUUAAUACAAAUCAAGGGUGAGGAUGUGGAGUAGCUUUUUGAAAUUACUCUUGGAGUAAAUGAAGCCCUCCAUUGCAAGGGCAAGGCUAGGCCCGAGAAGAAAGAAGAAUACCAAAAGGUAAACUAUUCUCUUACAAAUGAAAAAUUAAGCACAUCAUCAUGUAGAAGAGGUGCUAUCCUCGAAAGAGGAUUUUGAGCCAAUUAAAAGGCCAAAAAUAGCAACGUGAGCCAAUUUUAGCAAGAAAGUUAGCGCUUGCAUUUUCUUCUCUCAACGUACGGGCCACUUAAAUAUCUAAAAGAUCUAGCCAACGAGCUAAACUCCAAUAUUACCAAGCAAAGAGGCUGAGGAGGCGGAGGUUUAUCAUCCAAUUCUAUUUAAGAGAUGUGUAAAAUAAUUAUUUAAUUUAAUUUAAAGAAAAUGCUCUUUGGUUCCAUAACUCAUCUCAUGCAUGCCAAAUAACAUGAUUUUAAUUGUUUCCCUCAUGUGUAAAAAAGAAUAAUUGAUUUUCAUUGAUAAAAGAAUAUAGUAACCACGAGAAUUGUGCCAAUCAAUGACAUGAAAAGUGGAUUUCCAUCGCUUUAGUAUUUAUUUAUAUUUGAAAUAUGUAUAUGUAUUAAACCCCAUCCCGGUACCAACAAACCAAACCCUUGCCUCCCUGCUCCCUCCCUCCAUCGGAAUUGCGGACAUUCUCCUCCGCCGCACCGCGCGAACAACACAGUGAGUUUCCCUUACCCUUUCAAUUUCGCUCUAUCCACUUCGUGUUCUCGAUUAUUGUGUCCCUCAUCAUCUCAAUCUUCCAUGCAAACCUCAAAUUCCCUCUCUAUUUUUGCUAAUCAUCAUCUUUUCUACCACAAUUGUAGAUAGUCAUGUCUUUCCUAAUCCCCUUUGUGUAUUAUUAGGAGAUACAGUGAUCAUAUAGACAUUCUUCUUUAUCAACACUAGUUUCCAGUGCUAUCUUGUGCUUUACUUGUUAUGUAAUUUUCAGUUUUCUCAUCCAUCAAGGAGUAAUUCUUCAUACAAUUUCUCCAUUAUGAAUAGUAUCUAUAUCUUUGUAGAAAGGAAUGCUUAUAAAUCCACACUUUAAUCAAGGAAUAAUUUUGGCUCUUCAAAUUUGCAUAACUGAGGAACAUUAGAUUACCUUGACCUUGACAUUCAAUUUACAUAAUCCGUAUUUCGGAACGCCUUAUGCAUAAUUUGUGGAAUGUGCGCAUCUUUCUUUUUUAUGGGGUAAAUGUAAGCGUAUGAUCUUUUUCAUAUUAUUACUAUUACUCAUGUGUAAUUUUUGCAUACUAGUUACUAGAGCUAAGAAAACACAUCAAUUGUGCAAAAUGAUUAUUAUAUUUAUCAUUGUUGUCGGCUUGUCGCCACUUUUUAUAUGUACUAUUAUUAUUAAUUUAUUAUUUCUAUUUUUAGUUUGUAUCCCAUCAAGUCAAAUUAGCUUUAUUAUUUUUUCUGAUUUGAUUCUGAUUUUUUGACGGGUCAACCCGACGACAUUCCGCACCCUGUUUCAGGCUGGUUGAUGGUGGGUGGAUGCGGUGUAUAGAGGGUUGACCCACUUUCCCUAUCUUCAGCUAGUAACAACUUUAAUUAAACUAGCAACCAUAAAAAACUGAAACUAAAAACUGGUUUUUGGUUUUUUAAAGUUUCAGAAUUCCAUUUUACAACUAUCCUGAUUAUGCCGUUACCUGUGACUUCCCCUACCCGAUGCUAUUAUCAUCCUGUCGAUGCGGUUAUUUUAUACCAAUUUAGAUUGAUAACCAUGCUUGAAGUGAAUUUUUUUCAAAUUUGAUUUGCUAUAUUUCUAGAUGCAUAUAUUGAAAAUGAUCCUUGGAAGUUCCUUGUAUGAUUUCAAACUCUGUGUAUCCUUGGACCACAGAUGGCACUACAACAACAGCUAGACAAAUUCAAGAAACAGCAGGAGAAGUGUCAGUCAACACUGUCGAACAUUGCAGCCAACAAGGCUGCAAACCGAAAAUCUUCUGCUCCAGUAGUAGCUGCACCGGCAUCAGCCAAUGGAAUAAAUCCAGCACCUGCUGUCAAAUUCUCAAAUGACACCGUGAGGCUUCAGAAUAUUCACACCAUACGCAAUAGCACUGUGGGUCAUCAGAUGAAGCGUGUCAUUGAGCUCCUGCUAGAGGUACUCAGUACUCACCCAGUUCCCAUCCCAUUUGAUUUGUGAUUUCCUCUUUCAAUUCAAAUUGACCUUUGGUUGUUUUAUUUGGUUAAUGAUUUUAUUGUCAGUAAAUGGUGGUGCUAGUGACAGCAAAGCAUGAAAUGAAAAAAAGAGAAUUUUGCAUUCUUUAGUUAUUAGUUCUAACUUCUAAAUUUUGAAAACAUUUCCUGAAUCCUGAAACACUGACUAGGGGAUUUUUCCAUGACAACCUGCAUUUUACAUAAUUAUGCUUUUUAUCCAAUCAUCUUUUAAGGUAUUUUUGGGAUUGAUGGAUAUGUGUAUCUUCUUUUGCUCCUCCUAAGCUUAAUUGAAACCGUCCGCACAUGCACACUUGUCGUAAAUAAAAGUUUAGGUGGAGGGGUGGCUGCAUCAUUCUGAGGUCAGGGCAUGUCAUCAUUGACUUAAGGAGCCAUGCCAUAUGCAUAUGAACUGCCAAUAAAACUCCAUCUCAGGCUUUGUUUGUGAGGUUUUAGGGGACGGGAGGGAGAGACUUUGAGGGGAAGGGAGGGGAGGGCAGGAGAAGGAGAAGGGGGGGUAAGCCAUUCCCUUGUUUGGGAGUUUUUUUUUUCUUUAUUUUUUUUGGGUACAAAGAGCUAAAAGAAACAAAAAAUCUAAAAAACUACUGCUGCCUUAGGAAAGCAGUUCCCAUGCAGUCAGCUAACAACACAGGAGCCAUACCCUCUUUUUUGGGAGUUUUUAAUUCCCAAACCCCUCAAUUUGGGGGAGCUAAAAAAUAUAUCUAAAGGAGGGUUUUUAGAAAUACCCCAAACCCUUCCCCCCUUUUUAAAAUCUCCCAAACAAGGGGAGGGCUUCUCACAUGCAUUCCCCUUCCCUUCCCUCCUCUCCAAAGCCCAACUCACAAACACACCCUUAAUGAGUUGAUUAAUUGAAAGUUGAAACCUAAUUGAUUUUGUUGCUUGUAUUUGCUGACAGACACGGCAAGCCUUUACACCAGAGCAAAUUAAGGAAGUAUGCUAUGUUGACAUGAAGGCUAACAAAGAUGUUUUUGACAGUCUGAGGAAAAACCCGAAAGUACACUAUGAUGGGCAACGAUUCUCUUACAAGGUAACUUUUCUGCAUGCAUAUUCUUAUACUGGAAUGUUCCUUUAGAAAAUUAACUUUUUCUUCCAUUGUACUUGAUUGCUUUUGGUCUACAGUCAAAGUAUGGCCUUAAGGACAAAACAGAGCUUCUUCAACUGAUACGAAAGUUUCCUGAGGGCAUUGCGACUAUUGACUUAAAGGAUGCUUACCCCAAUGUGAAGGAAGACUUACAGGUAAAAUGAUUUUUGUUAGGGCUUUUUAUAUCCUACUGUGAUGGAAGACUUGUAGGUAAAAUGACUUCUAUUAAUGCUGUUUUAUAAUCCAUUGUGAUGGAAGACUUGUAGGUAAAAUGAUUUUAUUAGGGCUGUUUUAUUUUCUACGAAGAACAUUUUUUACAUUGAUUUUUCUAAGUGACAUUGGUUGUUUGUUCAUCGAUAUAAGUCUAUUCUUAUUUUUUACUGCUUGAACUCCUGUUUGCAUAAUUUAUCUUAGGAGAAAUAUGUUACGGACAAUACACUAAUACUGCAUAUUAUUGGGUUUUACAAAAUCUUCUUGCCACUGUCUCCUAACCUUUGCUAUUAUGGCAUUAAUGUUAAUACUGUGAAAUAGAUUUUUUUAAUUAGUCAGUACUUAUUGCUGUUUAAUGUGCUAGAUUAUUUGGUGCUUGGUUAAUGUAGAGGGUUGUCCCGCCUAGUAGGAAAAACAAUUGAAAUUUGCCUCCUUCCCGUCACUUUCCUUCCUUUCCUUUGUCCUUUUUUUAUAUGAAAACCGCUCUCUUUGCUUCUUUUCUUAUUGAGGUUAUCAUUGUACUGAGACAUUAGCUGAAGAGUUAUUUUUUAGUAUGUUUUUUUGUCGAAAUAUGGAAAUAAGAAUUGAACUAUUUAAUGAAAUUGAUCUGAAAUGUCUAUAACAGAUAAUUGUUUUUCAUAUACUAGGGCCUCAUAAAGCUAUAUUGGUUUCUAGGCUUUGAAAGCUGCAGGGCAGAUUUGGCUGCUGUCAAAUUUUGAUUCACACGACGAAGACAUUGCCUACCCUAAUGACCCCAAAGUGCAUAUUAAGGUGGAUGAUGACCUAAAACAGCUUUUUCGGAGCAUUGAAUUGCCUCAAGACAUGAUUGAUAUAGAGAAGGAUCUUCAAAAGAAUGGAAUGAAGCCCGCAACCAACACCGCAAAGAGGAGGAGUGCAGCAGAAAUUCAAGGCAUUCCUUCCAAGUCCAAGCCUAAGAAGAAGAAGAGGGAAAUUAGCAAGAGAACCAAGCUGACCAACACCCAUCUUCCGGAGCUCUUUCAGAACUUAUUCAAUUCCUGAUCAACUCGAAUCAGAGUUUUAGAUUAGUUCACAUAGAUAAUUUGUUAGCCUAACCUAGAACAUACUAGUGAAAAUGAUUAAGGAGGUUCUUAUUUCCCUACUGUUGAUAUUUGUUUUUAAUUUUCAUACCUAGGCUGCAAGUAAUGGACUGUUGUGAUUUGAAACAACUCUAGCAACCAUUUGUGAAUCCGUGUAGUAUAUUAAUAGCUCGUUAAACAUUUUAAUAUCUAGGACUUCUUCUUUUUGUGGUUACAUACGGAACGAAAAACAAACGAAGGGAAGGGAAACUACUCUUCUGCAUCAUGAAAUCCCACAUUAAAAUCCAUUUUAAGAUAACAUUUUCAACAAUUAUUAUUAUUAUUCCACUGGAAAAUUCAUUUAUUUGUAUUUUUCCAGCUUGUCAAGUUUUUUUUUUGAAACAAACUUGUCAAGUUAAACAAGUGACUUUCAAAAAAAAAGUUAAAACAGAGUGAUAAGAGAGAAUAACAAUUGUAGUUGGAGAGCUCAAGACCUUAUAAACCCACAUUAGAAUAUCAUACUUCCAAUGUGGGAUACAAGACUCAUACUCCUUGCAAUUAGGUCCUAACAUCUCACCAGGCUCGGUUCCCACACGGGCUGGUUGUGCACUACCAAUUGAUAAGAAUCUUGAAAGACCGUCACCACAAAAGCUAGCGGUUGUAGUUGGAGAGAAGACCUUAUAAACCCCCAAAUUAUAAUCUAUACUUCCAAUGUGGGAUCCAAAUCCCAUACCUUGAAAUUGGGUCCUAACACAAAGCAACUCUUUGCUCAACAUUGUUUCUUUGUAUGUGGUUUCCACUUGAUUCUGAAAUAAGCAUAAAACGUCGCAACUUUCUGAGCUUUUAAGAGACUAUAACUAAUUGUCAGCGUUCAUUAGAAAAUCGUAUAUAAAUUUUUUCUGACCCAAAAAAAAAAGGGUUUCAUAAUUUAUUUCUAAAUUAUUUAAAUUUGUGUAACCAAAAAAACAUUAUUUAAAUUUGAUGUUGUAUUAGUAUUAAACAAGGUUAAUCAUUCAUUUGCAAAUUUCGCAACUUAAUAAAUAGUGGAUAAUGGUGUGUUGUAAGGCGCCAAAUUACGCGUGGUAUUUAAACGAAAGAGUGUUGUUUAUUCCUCAUCCACCCAUUUUUAUUUUCUACCUUUGUUUUCGUGACACACCUUUAUAUCUCUCUCCUUCAUCACAGAGCAAAAGAAAAUCAACAGAAAAUUUCAGAUUCUGCUGAAUCUGAAAUGACCAUGGGGUUUGGUUUUGCAAUGCAAUGCUCCUCAAGCUAUGGUGGCUACUCUACCUGUGUCUCUCCACAACCUCAUCGAUCUUUUCACGGUUAGUUACUAAGUUAGUUACUUCAACUCUCAACUCAUCUUCCUCAAUCAAUUUGAUUUAGGUUUUGUUUGGUUCAACGGAAAAUCAACGUUUCUUCGCAAUAGGUCACUACUGGAACGGAUUCACGAGCUCACGGAAGAAUCAGAGGGUGGUUCUUCGUGUUGCGGACGAGCGAAGCUCCAACUCCAACUCCAAUCUCAGUUCUCAGAAGAAAAGGUUUUCUUCGUUUCUUCGUUACUAUCAUAGUUAGCUUCAAGUUCCCCAAAUUUCUGUGAUCAUAAAUGUGGAUAUUGUUUCAAUUUCAUGUAGAAAAGUUGUGGAACAUGUUUGUCUGCUGAAAGCGAAAGGGGAUUUAUCUGAACAGGAAGAGAGUGACAUGCUUGAUCAUUUGUACACAACACAGUAUCAAAUGGGUGGCAUUGUUGCAAUUUCAUUAGGUAUUGCAUUUGCAUUCAUAGGUGUUAGCUACAUACAUACAUUGCAUUUCUAUUAUACGCAGAAUCGAUGAGCGAUGCUUGUUUGUUAAUAUGAUGAUGAUGAUGAUGUUGUUGUUGCUUGCUUCGUUAGGUCGCAUUUCUGCUGCGAAUCCUGAGAACUAUACGCAUGCCUUUGUAUAUGCGGUUUCAGGGGAAGGAAUAUCUUGAAAAGUUCUAUCACAAUCCUUUUUACUUGAAGGUUCUCGAUGACCACGUAAUGACUUACUGCCAUGUAUGCACCAACAUGUAAACACCGAUUCUCUGUUCCUUUAUUUUAUUUUUUACUUCUUUUUCUUGUUGAGUGAGACUCCUUGGUUUUAACUUUGCCCUCAAGCUAAACUGAUUUCUGUUCCAGGGAUUGAUUAAUGUGGACUUUGAAUCCCAAGUGGAUGAUGACAUGCUUUCUAUAUUUCGCAAAGGAGAGGUUGGAACUCACUUAACUUCCUCUUUAGGAUAUAUAUUGAAGGGUUGUCAUUAAAUGGACAUAAUUGCACCUUGGUUCUUUGUAUUUGAUUUUAUGCAGUCUCCGUUUUUCUUAUUCCAACAAUGAUUUUUUUGGGGUUGGGGGGGUGCUUUAAAUGAAUUUUGUGGUUAGGAGUUCAACCAUGGAGUAGAGUUUGUGCUUUUGAUAUCAUUCAAUGAGGAUGCAUUGGGUACCCUGGUGGAAGAUGCAUUGGCCUCUCUGGCAUCAUUGAUGUUGGAUGCUCCAUCCUUGAUUGUCCAAUUUACUCAAGGUAUGUUUCCAGUUCAACAAACUCUUAGAGCAUGUUUGGUUUAUUGAAAGUACCUCCACUUUGCUUUGGAAAGUGGGAUCCCAUAUUCCCAAGCACAAAACGUGCAAGCAAGAAUUUUGAAGGGUUGGAGCUUGGAGUUGAAUGUGGUUGGAUGUUAAAGCAAACAUUAGUUGUUUUAUUGAACUUGGUUUGUUGGCUCAUCCAAAGUUUAAUUUUUUUCUAAAUUACAUGAGGAUUGUAUGGAGAAAAUCCUUGUGUCUAAGACUCUUAAGUUUUCGUAUUCUACAUGGGUAAUUCCUAUUUAAUUGCCAGGUUUGAAUUUUAGUCCAAGCUCUAAGGAGUAUACUCAUGGAGUAGUGAUACGAUUUCGAUCAGGUAAUCUCAGUCUCAAGCUCUGUAACCGUGUUACGUCUGAUUUUCUUUCACUUGGACAUGUUGACUGGUUUUGGUGCAUGAUGGCAUGUUUUGCAGUUGAAGCAUUUGAGAUAUUUAUACGCAGCAAAGAGUAUAAAGAUGUAAGGACCCAACAUAUUGUUCCAUACACAUUUUGACAACUUCCCUUGGGUAGUUAUUUGUUAUACACCUUUUGGUCUGAACUCUGAAGUACCAUACAUUUAAGAGACAGAUGAUAUCUUCACUUUCAUGCCACUUCUAAAUGUUUCCCUUUUCAGUAAACAAUAUAAUAUAGAAAAUUUGUUUGGGAUCAUACUAUCAAUUUCGUCAUUUUGUCCUCGAAAAUGACAACAAUCUAGUUUGUUGGCUGACACUCUCAUUUUUACUUGGACAUUUGUCAUUUUGAUUAUAUUAAAUUAUGAACUUAUAAUGAGCAGAACUGAAAUAUAAUUUCUUAAAGAUAAAUAUGUUUUAGAAAACUUAACUAGUACACCGUUGGUGACAAUAUCUCAAGGAGAACAAGCAUAUCAAGAAUGUAAAUUAUAUUUGGAUUUGGAAAACAGGUUUGGAGAUCUAAGUUCCAGACAAUUGUCCAGAAAUCAUUAUCUCUUCAUUUCUCUGUUGAUCCAGUGGGAACUGAGAUUAUGUAGUGAGGAUGAUUCAUGGUAAUUUUUUGCUAUUUACCUACUUGGCAUAUAUGGAAGUGACAUACAUAUUUCUCAUAUUUUGUUCCAAAUGCUUGCAGGUUUUCAACAAAAGAUGCGGCUUGGUUUCCUCUUCUUUUCAGGAACAGGGAUGAAGGUUAUUUCCUGCUUUCUAUUUCAACUCAUGUUCUUUUGCUAUGAACUAUAACUAUAGUAUUGGUGUCCACUUUAUUUUCUGCAACAUUCUGAAACUUAAAUUCCAUAUGUAAUUUUUUUUUUCAAUUACCAAUUUAUCCCGAUAGCCAUGAGACUAAUUCUCUGAGACUCCGAGAUCACAUUAAGUAGGUAAACCUCAUAUGAAGUUUUUGUUGCUUAUUUAUAUGUAUUUUCUUAAUACUCAACGCGUCUGGACCUACUAUCUGCAUAAUGCUUCGCUUCGAUUUUGCUAUGCUAAUGUCAAAAUUAAGCCUAUGAGUUGCUCUUUGUAUUCUCCCUAAAGAUUUUUGUAUUAAAUGUAAUAAAAUAGAUUUUAUGGACUUAUGCUAAACUCAUAGUAGGGGUGGCAAAUAGAUGGAUUUGAAUAUGGAUUGUAAUGGAUGAGUCAAGAACAAUUGAUCUCUUUGUAUUCUCCCUAAAGAUUUUUGUAUUAAAUGUAAUAAAAUAGAUUUUAUGGACAUAUGCUUAACUCAUAGUAGGGGUGACAAAUAGAUGGAUUUGGAUAUGGAUUGUAACGGAUGAGUCUAGAACAAUUGAGUGUUUGUUUGUUUUUUGGUUCAACUCAGUUGUAACGUGAUUCCACGUAGGAUUCCCGAUUUCCAAAGCAAGUUGGCUGAACGAAACUCACUUGUCAAGUUGAUUGAACGUACUUUCACGUUCAGUCCAACUGUUAUACAAACGCAGUCUGAGUAACCCAUCAAGGAUUCUUUUUUUUUUGUCAAUAGGAUUCAUUUAAAUUGUUUCAAAAAAUUCAAUCAAUCUAUCAUCUAUGGCCCAUUUAAUAUAAUCCAUCCACCUCAUCCACGAAUGGUUUUUUAAUGGAUGAACACGACAGAACCCUCCAAACCUUCAAACUUGUGUGCUAAUUCGGGAGAUAGAUAACCCUCCAAGCCCUGAAGCAUGUGUGCAUAUUGUCCUAUGUCAAUUUAUAUACGAUGAUAACUCAAGAAUUUUGAAAAAAAAAAAUACAAAACGUAAUGAAAUAUAAUAAAAUACUUUUUAUUGGUUUAAAUAAGAAAUAUAUAUAUAUAUAUUUUGAAAUGUUUCAUUUAUAAUAUUUAUUCUCAUGUGAGUUUUUACAGUAAUUUAACCGUGACUAAAGUAUAUAGUAUCAAUAUUUUAUAAUUCCUAUACGACACAUUUUUGCUACUCACAUUACCAUGCUUUUAUAGGAGGACAUACCCAAUUAGAUUUCCCACCCCGUGUUUUAGAUUUCCCACCCCAUUUAAAAGUGGGGAAAAACCAAUAUUGUCCCUCCGUGUUUUAGUCCGAAACUUCAACCUUCGGAUCAGUACGAAACUUCAUCCUUCGGAUUAGUAUGAAACUUCAACUUCUGGACACCUCUGACAGAUUCUACCACCUUUUUCAGCACCAUUACUCCAUAGCUUCACCUACCUCACCACCAUUAUGACCUGCAUAAACUCCUCAACCACCCAACCACCCCCCAUUUAUGGCUGAACACACUGUUUGGAU
rnacentral:lncRNA from 1 species